UCUUUUGUGGUAUUUCUGGAUCCUCACCAAGGCAGUGAUGGUAUAUGCCUUCUCUCAAGAUAUGUAGUAUUUGUGGUAUAAGGCAUAAUGACAUUGCCUUCUCUCUCUCUCACCCUACUCUAAUAAGGCUUUAAUAUCUGGAGCUCAUAGGUGGGAGAUAAAGUAUACAUACUCACAAGACAUUUAUUGUAUAGUCAAACCAUGGAUCCAAAGAAACAAAUCAAUAAGUCAAAUCAAGAUGUGCAUGUGUGGCGAAUGAAUGGUGUAUGGUGAUGAUGGUGAAAGUCUAAUUCUACUUUUUCUCUUUGAGGGGAUACAUACCUUUCUUGCCCUUUGAAACUUUUUGAGGAGAAUGAGAUGCUCUAUCUUUUCUUUUUCUUUCCUCUUAGGUGGGUAUCUUGUACCCCUAAUUCUACUGUCGGACACUUGUCCAUUUUUACCUCUCGUCUUACUUUUCCUUUCAUUUCUUUCGAGGUUCUGGGCACUUGCCCCUUUUUAUUUCCUCGUAUCUUUUCUCUCUUUUUUUAGAGCACUCAUCUCUUGAAAUAAUAUAGCAAGUGGUAGUAACAAGAUAACUUGAGCAUUUAUUUCUCAGGGGAAAAAUAGAAAUAUUUUUUGGUAUUCUCUCCCGGAUUAGGAGUAGAAUAUUUUUGGGUGGUUCUCGAGGUAGUAAUGAGUGGAUAUAUGUGGAUGCGUACUUCCGGAGUAGAAGCAGCAUGUGUGAGUGAACGUGCAAAUGAAUCUUGAAUUAACCACAUGACAAGCUCCUAAGGGUCUACACAGCUUGACCACACUCAAUGCUCAUAAGUAGUAAAAAGUAAAUGUGUGGCUCAAAGUCUAGCAAGCAUGUACAUAUGGCUGUGGUAGGAAUUUAAACUCUCAUCAUACAGGAACUCAUCAUGCAAUAUUUUAAAGAUUUUUCAAAGAUAAAAUUCUCCAGAAUUCUAGCAUCUCUAGGAACAGAUAAAUAGCAGCUCAACCUUUCCAUAUCAUAUCCGUUAACAACUUAGACUUCAGAUCAAGUUUUCUUCCCACAAGUUUAGGUUUAGAGCAAGCUUUAAAUUAUAACAGUUAUAUCUAAACUUGAGAGAGAACUUCAAUUCGAAAAUUAGGCAGAACAACUAUUCAUCAUAUCCAUGAUAGAGUUUUAUUAUUAAGGAUUCAGUUUAGCAUAGCCACUUUAUUUAUUUAUUAAACAAACUAAGCAAAAGUUAUAUAUAAGCACAAAAUAUUUAUUUGGGUUUCCAUAGUUAUGUAUAUCCAUAUUUUAAUAUAGUAUAAGUAUAAAGAUAGAUAGAAAUACUUAGCGGGAUAAAUAUGGGUGCUCUCCCUCAAGCUGGAUUUUGAUGUAAUUUCUUUUGAUGUAGCUAGCAGGUGGCAGAGGUGUAUUUGAAAGUCGGCAGUAUCUUGACAGCGAUUAAAAUGUCCUCCUUCUGCUAGUCUUCUCGAUUCUUAAAUUCUGUGGAGCUCAAAUAGACAACAAAGCUUUGUGGAACUGAUUAAGUGUUAACAUAAAUAUCUAGCCUUUAUCAUGUUGAGCUUCCUCCAUAAAUGUUACUCUCUAUUUUUAUAUUUUCAUUUUAGAAAAUAGAAAAAAAAAAUUUAUUUUAUUUUUAUGCCACCACAGUGAAUGUACUUAUGGGUUUUAUGCUACUCGUAUAUUCACAUGGGGCUUAUUAUUUUUCAUAUUUUAUUUUAUUUUUAGGAUAGUAUAAACAUGAUUAACUAAGCAAACUGUUUAAAUAAUUGAAAGGGAAAGGAUAACUACCAAGUUUACCUCUUGGCAAGGCGUUCGGUGUUUUUAAGUCCUCCAAACGGGACUCUCCAUUUUCUAGUUGUCCUGGGAUUCGUUGGGUGGCGUAGUCGGUACUUCCGGCAGCGCCUCCUCUUCAUGUAUAGUUAUCUUCUCUUUCCACAUCUGACUCGGUGCUACGGUCUCCUCUGGAUAAUUCUGUUUAAACUGUAUGUCUUCUGACCUUAUCACUUCUCCUUCGUAGUCUGUCCAUCCGUCCUUGAUGAUUUGCCUCCUCUAGUUACGGUUGCGUUGUUUUCUGACCUGCUUAGAGUCUUCAACGAUAUAGUUAGGGUCAGUAAAAUAGCGGCGUACCUUCUCUGAGGGGAAGUGCAUAUGGACUUCUACAGUUCCAAUACAGAUGAUUGCUUUAACGGUGCUGAGGAACGGUCUUCCAAGGAUGAUGGGUGGAUCGUAUUCGUCUUCUCCCAUGUCAAUAACCUAAAAGUCUGUGUAGACAAAAUGAUCGUCUAUUUUGACAGGGACGUCAGUUACUAUCCUUUAACCUCUCAAAAUGUCUGAUCUGCCAUCUGGAGCUGAAUGUAUGUCGGCUUUAGGGGCAUUGUUCCGAACAAGAGCCGAUAGGUGACUGCGGCCAUUAUGUUGACGCCCGAUCCGGUGUCACAACUCGUCUUGUAGAAGUUAUACCCAUUGAUGGAGCAAUAGAUGCUUAGCAUUCCUGGGUCGUCCUUCUGGGUCAGAAAUGGUGACUUAAGUCGAUGAUCUUGACAUCCUUGAACUGCAGUGACCAUCUUAGCUGACUCGGUCCACACUUGCUUGUUCCUGUUCCUCCUGUUGGUCCUCUUCCUUGGUUCAUGUCGAGAUUGAUCUGGGAUUUGUGUAGUCUUGUUCUUGAAGGAAAACGUCUCCGUCCUCCCUUCAAUGUAUAAACUGAUCUUGGCAGCACUAGCGUAGAUGAUAGCUCCCGAGGUGUUUAAGAAUGGCCUCCCUAAGACGAUGGGUGACCUCUCAUCAUUACUGGUCUCUAUCACUACAAAGUCUGCUGGGGCGUACAAUGUACCAACUCGGACGCAAAGGUUCUUCAAUAUUCCUUUGGAAAACUUAUUGUCUGAUCUGCAAACUGCAAACACAUGGUUGUUUCUACUAAAGGAUAUGUAAAGAAUUUUUCAUAGAGUACCCUGGGCAUAAUGUUGACACUAGAGCCAAAGUCGCAGAGUGCUUCUGGGAAGUCCACCAUGCCGAUGGAGAUCGGGAUGACGGGGUCCUGGAUUGCCUCUCUUGACCGGCAGAAGGUCAGUAGUAACUUCAGUGACGGGGUUACUCCAGUAGUUACCUGCAUCAAACAUGUCUACAAGAUUUGUAGAUUCUAAUCCUUCCGGUUGUGAUGGUAUACCGGGGUUAGUAGCAGGAACAACAGCAGCUAUUUGAUUUAACUGGGAUUCAAUCAUGUUAUUAAAGCUAAUUUGAUUCUUGAUGGCAGUAGAGAAAUUAUCCAUUCUGUUAUUUAUAUUUUCUAGCAUUUUAUCAUUAGAUGCUAAUUUCUUAGAUAGGUUAUCCAUUAGCUUUCCUUGAUUAGACACUAACUCUCUCAGAGGUGGAAAAUUAUUAUUAUUAUUAUUAUUAUGAGAAUUAUUACCUUGAUAAUUACCUGAGUAGUUAGGCCUCUGUUGAUUCCAACCUUGAUUUUGUUGAGGACGGUUGUAGUAGUAGUUGUUGUUAUUGUUGAUGUAGUUCACAUCCUCAAGUAUCUCAGGGUAGUGAUUGACUGAGUGUCCAGUAUCUCCACACUCCUCACAAGUCAAGUGAGAGUCGUAGAUGUGCAUAACUUCUUUCUUAUCUCCAGCUCUAUCAUCGAGCUUCUUCAUGAGCAGGUCUAGCUUUGCAGACAGCAUGUCUAGCUCCUAGAGCUGAUGCACACAUCCACCUUUCUUGCGUGUCUGGGUCCUUUCUUCAUUCCAGCUUUGGUUGGACGCCAUCUUCACCACAAGAGCUGUGGCUUGUGAUAUGGUAAGUGAUAGGAAUGCUCCUCGAGCUGCAGCAUCCAUGGUCUCUCGGGCACUGUUGCCGAGCCCAUUAUAAAAUGUCUGCAUCAGUAGCCAACUCUCCAUUCCAUGAUGGGGACAAUCUAGGAUGUAGUCUUGGAAGCGCUCUCAUGCUUCUGGAACGGAGAGCAUUGGUCUUGCCCACGGGAAAGAACUUAGCUAGAAAGUUCGUGCAGCAGAGUGCCCACGUAGUAUUCUUCUCCUUUGUAGUGUAGAACCACUGCUUCGCUCUCCCUAACAGCAAGAAUGGGAAGAGGCGAAGUAGUAUAGCAUCUCUGGGGACUCCUGAUAUGGUGAAUGUGUUGCAAAUCUCCAGGAAGUGUUGGCGAUGAGCACUAGCAUCUUCGUGUGCCUUCCCACAGAACUGGUUGGAUUGCACCAUGUUGAUAAGUCCAGGCUUGAGCUCAAAGUUGCCAUCAAUCUCUUCAGCAGGUCCAGUACGGAUGUUGUCUGUAGUGGGAGCUGAGAACUCGCAGAUCGAUUUGUUCGCCAUGGCUUCGAACUCUGAAGACAAGUUCCGGUGAUCUUCUUGAUUGGAUGAAGCUUCUUGCUGAAGUGUUGAUGAUCUCUUCUUGAGCUUGGCUCUUGUUUUUUAAAAAAAGCUUCAGGAUUGUCAACAAAAUUUCCUAGAAGAUGUCUUCUAUUCAUUCAUUCCCCUGCAUAAGAUAAAAUAGAAAAAUAUAGGGGUAAAACUGUAUGAGAGAAUUGAUAAGCUCAAUCAUAUUAGUGGUGCGAAUGAUAACUCAAAAUCUUAUAUUCAUUCCUGAUUAGUAAUCAACCUUCCUCGGCAACGGCGCCAAAAAUGCUUGUUGGGCAUUCUUAAUGUCACUACCAAAAGUAGACUUAGUUUUCUAAUUCUGAUAACGGCGCCAAAAAUGCCAAACCUAUCCCUCAUACCACUUAAGCCAAGUUGUCAUCCUCAGCAUGACAUGAGAGACACGGUAUUGAAAUAUGCAAUUGCUCAUCUAAAUAAAUAACAAAUGGGAUCUGCAAGCGCACAGAUUAAUACCGAUGUAGCAUUUUAACCGGGAAGUAUUCCAGGUAUCGUUAUUUAUAUUUUUACCACUAGGAAGGGAUUAGCAAUCAUCAAUGUUGAUUAUAGAAUGGAAUAUAAGAUUGAGUAUCUAUCGUUGCAUGUAUAAUUGAGAACAUUUAUCUAACUCUUUCAUACAGGGAUAAGUGUCACAUAAAGGAUAUAUAAAGUAAUGAAUACUGACAAAGGUAAUUAAUCUAAUCAGCAUAACUUAGCCACAUAAGAGAUAUGAUAAGCACCUCAAUUAGAUAUUCUAGCAAGUCAUUAGCAUGGAAUUAGAACGAACUACAAGAAUAUUUCGUAAGUUAUUCUUAACUAUACAGUCUAGCAUAUCAUAGUUAGUGCAAUUAUACUUAGCAAUCAUUGUGAGACAGGACUACGCCCAUGCAUAGUGAUAUUAGCAAGGAAUAUGAGAAACAUCGUAAUCACUCUCCUGUAAUAAUGUUGCUCUGCCAGCCCAAUACAUGAGAGUGGGACUAUAUAAGAAUCAAUAGAGCUGUCACUACCACGAACUACCCCACGAUCUGGCAUAUAGGGUACAAUCGCAGAUAAAUACGGUAUAAGCACCACGCCUACACAAUAUCUAUCAUUUACCCAUGGAUCCGAUGGAUAAACGCUAUACGAUCCUAAACAUGUAUAUAGAUCCAAUCUAACUAAGCCAAGUAUAUAACUAUGACAAACUAAGAACAAUAUAAUUGCGAAUAUAAACAAGUAGAGCAAAGUCAUAAUCAAUAUAUUUGUUGACAUCGUUUUUGGACACGUAUCUUUUGACACGUACCUAGAGUUAAUGAAAUAUAGAUCGGCAGAUGGAGCAAUGGUGACUAGUCUACAGGGGAGUUGCCGAUGAAGGUGGUUGCCGAUGGGGAGACAACCGAAUAUGACUAAGUCCAGAAGUGAUGACAUAUUCGUGCCGAUGACCAGUGCCGGUGUUUGCCGAUGGCUGUAACAGGUAGUCUGCCGAUGACUCUGGAGAAAAGCGCGGAGGUUGCCGAUUGAUUCUUGGUAGUGUCCCGAUCGGUUACGAGGGAUAGUUUAAUGUUUUCCUUAGUUAUUAGAAUUCGUUUUGUAUUUGGGUUCCGUUUAAUUUCGAAUUCGAGUCCUAGUCAUGUCUGGUUGUAGCUCUUUGGACAGGGUAUAAAUGUAAACCCAAGGGCAAUGUAAUGAAAGAUCAAUCAAUCAAUAAAACACAAGUUUUUACUCAUAUUCCAGCAUCUAUUUUCGACGACUUCGUCAUAUUUUCCUUUUUACUAUGAGUUCUUAGGAAUUCGUCGAGUCAAACUCGGCGUGUUCUCAAGUUCCGCGUGAGCACCUCUUGGCCAUGACAUCCGGGCGCAUCGCUGUUGUCGAGACCAAAGUGUUUGAGUUACCACCUGUUGAUACCGUUUUUGGACACGUACCCAGGAUCGGUAGAGUGUAGAUCGGCAAGAUAAGGCAACAGUAACUGGUCUGUAGGAGAGUUGCCGAUGAGGGUGGUUGCCGAUGAAGGGACAGCUGAAUGUGACUAAGUCCACGGGUGGUGAUGUGUUUAUGCCGAUGGUCAGCAAUAACCUGUGCCGAUGGCUACGAUGAGGGGUAUGCCAAUGAUUCGGAAGAAGAACCUGAAGGUUGUCGGUUGGCCUGUGGUGGUGUCCCAGUUUGUCACGGGAGGAUAGUUUUAUGUUUUCCUUAGUUAUUUAAAUCGUUUUGUAUACGGAUUCUGUUUAAUUUGGAAUUCGAGUUCUAGUCGUGUCUGAUUGUAGCUCUUUGAGCAGGGUAUAAAUGUAGACCCUAGGGCCUUGUAAUCGAUAUAUCUAUCAAUCAAUCAAACACAAGUUUUUACUCAUAUUCCAGCAUCUACUUUUCGACGACUUCGUCAUAUUUGCUUUUUCAUUACGAGUUCUUAGGAAUUCGUCGACUUAAGCUCGGCGUAUUCUCAAGUUCCGCGUGAAUACCUCUUGGCCGUGGCAUCCGGGCGCAUCGCUGUUGUCGGUACCAAAGUAUUCGAGUUAUCACCUUUGCCGAUAGUAAGGUCAAAUCGGCUGGCACGCCUUAACGAUUGAAUCGGGUAUUAGCCCUUUGUGUUUGCAGAUCAGCUUUUGCAACUUUUGGCACGCCCGGUGGGACAGAUUCAAGAUCAAGAUCGACAUGGCGACUAGCGAAUUCGAUUUGGAGAACGUCAUCCCCAUGAUGGAAGCUAGCCUCAAAGAUGAGCAGAAGCAAGCUAUUGCGAAGGCUAUGGAGGAUUACAAGCAACAAUGUCUCAAGGCCUUCAGCAUAAAUAGGAGUGGCGAGGUGAUCCAGAAGGAAGCACUGCCGGCCCCUCAGCAGGUUACUUUUGAAGCCAAUCCUGGUAAACUCCAAGACAUGGUCGAUAGUGCUAUCAGCCGUGCCUUGAUCAACCAAGCUGGUGUGCUGUCCAAUACGGUUUUCAAUGCCGUGGCUAGAACUUUCAAAGAAGGACAAUUGCCACCGAACUCAUCAACCAGGAUCGCCAGUGGUUACGGCUCCAUCGGCUGCUAUGGCCGCUGCAGGCAUAGAAACUACUGUUCCUCCAAGCACGCUAGGAGUCUCUAAUGCGCAAUCCACGCCGAUGCCGUCCAAUGCAACAACAUCAGAUGAGUCGAUCAAGCUUACUACAGAUCUAUUGGCAUCGGCAAUGUCGGGAUCUGUUCCUCCUAAUUGGUGGGGUUUUUGUAUGCCCCCGGAAUACUUGUUAAAGACACCGGGUACAUCUCAGGCAGCUGAUAAGAGAGGCAAGGCUCCUAUGGCAUCGGCACCUCCAAAUAUGCCGAUGAAUCACAGUCUCCAGUAUACUACAACUACUAUUGCAAGACCUUACACUAGGAAUUCUCAAGCUCCAACGUUCCAGAUGCCUAAUGCAUCGGCAGAUUCAAUGCCGACGCAACAGAGGUUUAUGACUCAGCCAGGGUAUGUCAAUUCAAUGAUGAUGCCCAAUUACCAGUCAUCGGCAGGACCUAUGCCGAUGAAUGCUAAUAGUGGAUGGCUUGGGCAGCAAGUCUUUCCACAAAUGCCCCAACAGAAUCAUCAGGUUACAGGGUUUCAACAAGGCCAGACCUACCCUGGAUUCUAGAACCAAGGGGUGGUCAAUCAGCCGAUGAAUCUCGGCCAGCAGGUUGGUGGUUAGCAGAUCGGUGGUCAGCAAUUUGGUGGUCAACAUCUUGGUGGUCAGUAGCUCGGCGGUCAGUAGGUUGGUGGCCAAAUGAUUAACCCAAUGUUCCAUGCAGAUCGUGCACCACACAGACAUGUGGAAGCUUACCAGCAGGUGCCAGAUCCACAACCACCUCAUCGGCAAGAUGCUGAUGCUUAUUGGGCCGAUAAGACCCAAAGUCAAUACUUAUUCUUAUCAGACACCAUAUCCUCCUGCAUAUGAUUUAAUCCUGCUUCCAAAUCGGUACAAAGUGCCAGAUUUUACUAAGUUUUCUAGGCAGGAUGAUACAUCAACCAUAGAGCAUGUCAACAGGUUCAUCAUUUAGUGUGGAGAAGCCGCUAACAGGGAUGAGUUAAGGGUUCGCUUGUUCUCGUCAUCAUUAUCUGGAUCGGCUUUCACUUGGUUUAUAUCAUUACCUCCUAACUCAGUGAUUACUUGGGCCGAUCUAGAGAAACAAUGCCACAAAUACUUCUUUUCUGGUGUCCACGAGAAGAAGAUCACCGAUUUGGUCAAAUUGAAGCAACGCAAUGAUGAAUCAGUUAAAAGUUUCGUGCAGAGAAUACGGGAAGUCAAGAACAAAUGCUAUAGCCUGGUUUUGGAUGAUCGGCAGCUAGCUGAUUUGGCUUUCCAGGGUUUGUUGCCACAUAUCAGGGACAAGUAUGCAUCUCAAGAGUUCGAAAGCUUAAGUCAUUUGGUGCAGAGGAUUUCUGAUCAAGAUAUCAAGCCUUUUGAGCCCAAGAGAGCAUGGAACAAAAAGGUAUCAUUUGUGGAUGAAGCAGCAAGCUCGGACUCUGAUGAGGAACCAGUCAUCGGCUUGGCAGAGUGGGCAAAGAAUAAGAAGCUGAUGUCUUGUCCUUUUGGGCACAAAGAGCCGGAGAAGUUCGCAUUUGACAUCACUAAAGCCGAUAGGAUAUUUGACUUUCUACUUCAGGAAGGUCAGAUCAAAUUGUCACCCAAUCAUGUAAUCCCAUCGGCUGAAGAAUUAAAGAAGAUGAAGUACUGCAAAUGGCAUAAUGCAACUUCUCACAGCACUAAUGAGUGCAAAGUUUUUAGACAAUAGCUGCAAUCGGCUAUAGAAUCUGGGAGGAUCAAGUUCGACAGCUCCAAAACUCAGAAGCCGAUGAAGAUUGAUCAACAUCCUUUCCCAACAAACAUGCUGGAUGCUAAGGGAAAGGCCAAGGUCUUGACAUCGGAAGCAGCUAAAAGAAGUGCAUCGGUGGAUCCUCAGCAUCAGAUCACUACUGCCGAUGCAAAAGGAAAAGGCUUAAUCCAGGAAGGAAAUGGCUCAGGAAGGCCUCCCCGAUCUGGUAUUGUCAUAACUCAUAGAAGGCCUCGGGAGACUUGGCAGCAACGUGAGGAUCGGUAUCGGCGCCAGCAAGAAGACUAUCAUCGGGAAGAAGAAAGAAGCUGACAAGAAUGGAAUCGGCAUAGGGAUCACUGGAAUUCUCCAUUCUUUAUCCAUUGUUGGGAGGAAAAUAUCAAGCUUCCUACUGCAGGGACUGCCCGGAAUGUAAUGGUUACGAUCGGUAUGAUAGAUCAAAUCAGCAGUAUCAGAGCAAUAACCGUCGGUUUGAUUGGACGAUUAGGGGGAGAGCGUCGGUUCAUCAUCGGCUGGGGGCAGACUCAGUGUGCAUGAUAGGCUUGGAGAUCGAGUUGAAUAUUUUCCCAGGAACCAAGAAGAGCUUGAGGAGAUGGCUAAUGCACGAGUUCCCGAUGAGUUCAUAUUUUGUAGGGAUGCCAAUACUUAUGGGAUGGAGUCAAGGGAAAAUCAUCGACCAUCGGUAAAGCAGCAACAACUUCCUCCAUGGUGUCCAGAGGGGUUGACUAGGACACAGAAAAGGAGGCUACAGCGCGAAAGGCGAGAGGAGUUGAACAAGGGUGAGAACUCUGGCCAGUCUAGGGAUCAGCAACAAUCAGAUCCUAAGGGAAAAGGUCCAUCGGAAGGUAUGAACAUGGUAUUUAUGUUGCCGAUGGAAUUCCUUGCGCCGUCUAGUGAUGAUGACUUGGAGUUUUCCGACCAAAUAGCUCAAUUGGCUCUGGAUCCGAUGACGGCCAUCUUCGAAAAGCCUGCCGAUAAUGAAAGGCAGCAUCUCAAGGCUUUGUUUGUCAAAGGAAGGGUUGAUGGUCAGCCGAUGACCAAGAUUUUAAUUGAUGGUGGAGCUGCCAUCAAUAUCAUGCCAUAUGCAGUGUAUCGGAAGCUUGGAAAAGGAGAUCAGGAUUUGACCAAGACCGAUAUGAUGCUCAAAGACUUUGAGGGCAACAUGUCUCCGGUUAAGGGGGCGAUAUGCGUUGAAUUGACUAUCGGCAGCAAGACCUUGCCGACAACCUUCUUCGUGAUCAGUGGAAAAGGUGCUUAUAACUUGCUGUUGGGAAGAGACUGGAUUCAUGCCAAUUGUUGCAUCCUGUCUACAAUGCACCAGUGCUUGGUCCAGUGGGUAGGUGACAAGAUCCAGUGCUUGGUCCAGUGGGUAGGUGACAAGAUCGAAAUUGUCCCGGGAGAUUCUUCCUAUGUUGUUGCAUCAGCAGAGGCAGACACCUACGAAAGAACCAGGUGUAUUUCAGGAGAAGUUUGGGAAAAGGAUUUUCUCAGAGUUGCCGAUUAUGAAAUUCCACCGAUCCAAGCAGUCGAUUUUGAUGAAGGUUUUUAAUGGAUAGGUUCGCCGAUGAUGGAAAAUUGGGCCAGGAAUUCACAUCGGCCGAUGAUUUGGUAGAAGUAGAUAUAGGUAGUGGUGAUAAGCCUAGACCUACUUUUAUUAGUGCUAAGUUAAGUUUUGAGUGUAAGCAAUAGUUAACUGAUUUCUUAAAGGAAUAUAAAGAUUGCAUUGCUUGGGAUUAUACUGAGAUGCCUGGUUUGGACCGAUCAAUUGUUGAACAUCGGUUGCCUAUCAAGUCUGGAUUUCGGCCACAUCAACAGCCAGCUCGCCGAUGUAAUCCUAAUAUUCUCCCUGAUAUUAAGGCCGAAAUAACCAAACUUAUUGAAGCUAAAUUUAUUCGGCAAUGUCGUUAUGCCGAGUGGAUUUCCAAUGUUGUCCCGGUUUAUAAGAAAAAUGGGAAGCUUCGGGUCUGCAUUGAUUUCAGAAAUCUUAAUAAAGCUACACCGAUGGAUGGCUACCCAAUGCCAGUUGCCGAUUUGCUAGUUGAUGCCGCAGCUGGGCAUCGGAUUAUCAGCUUUAUGGAUGGCAAUGCAGGAUACAAUCAAAUAUUCAUGGCUGAAGAAGAUAUUCCAAAGACUGCAUUUAGAUGUCCUGGUCAUGUUGGGUUGUUUGAAUGGAUAGUCAUGACAUUUGGCUUGAAAAAUGCUGGUGCUACUUAUCAGAGGGCCAUGAAUUUUAUAUUUCAUGAGUUCAUCGGCAAGCUGGUGGAAAUUUAUAUUGAUGAUGUGGUGGUGAAGUCUUGAGACUUCACGAAGCAUCUUGCCGAUUUGUGAAAAGUGUUGGAAUGCACAAGGAAGCAUGGUUUGAAGAUGAAUCCAAAUAAGUGUGCAUUUGGUGUAUCGGCAGGACAAUUUCUUGGUUUCAUGGUGCAUCAAAGGGGGAUUGAAAUUAGUCAGAGAUCCAUUGAUGCUAUCAACAAAAUAGUUGCCCCUACCAACAAGACUGAGCUCCAAUCCUUGAUCGGCAAGGUAAAUUUUAUCAGAAGGUUUAUAUCUAAUUUGCCUAGUAAAAUUCGUGCGUUCAGUCCUUUACUUAAGUUGAAAGCCGAUCAAGAAUUCGUUUGGGGAAAAGAACAACAGUUGGCCUUAGAUGAAAUCAAGAAUUAUUUGGUAAAUCCUCCAGUUCUGAUUCCACCUCAGCAAAGAAAGCCCUUUAUAUUAUAUUUGUCUGCCGAUGGGAUGGUCAUCGGUUUGGCUUUAAUUCAAGAAUUUGAAGGGAAGGAACGUGUGAUUUACUAUUUAAGCAGGAGAUUGGUUGAUGCUGAGACCAGGUAUUCAGCCAUUGAAAAGUUAUGUUUGUGUCUUUAUUUCUCAUGUAUUAAGUUGAGACACUAUUUGUUAUCGGCUGAGUGCACUAUCAUUUGCAAAGAUGAUGUGGUCCGAUACAUGCUAUCUAUGCCGAUCAUGAGUGGCAGGAUCGGUAAGUGGAUUUUGGCACUGUCAGAAUUCGAUCUGCGUUACGAAUCGGCUAAAGCGGUUAAGGGGCAGAUUAUGGCCAAUUUUGUAAAUCAACAUUGCGGUACAGUGGAGACUUUGGAGAUUGUACCUUGGACACUUUUCUUUGAUGGAUCCACGUGUGACCGGGGGGCAGGAAUCGGCAUAGUGUUAAUUACCCCUCGGGGAAGGAAGUACGAGUUUUCCUUGCCGAUUGUUGCCACGUCAACAAAUAAUCAAGCUGAGUAUCAAGCUUUGAUAAAGGGGUUGGAAUUACUAAGGGAAGUUCAUGCUGAUGCUGUUGAAAUCUUCGGAGAUUCUAUGCUGGUUAUAAAUCAAUUGGCUGGAAGCUAUGAAUGCCGAAGCGAAGUCUUGAUAACUUAUCACGAAAGGAGUAUGCAAUUGUAAAAGGAAUUCACGGAUUUCUGAUUAGAGCAUGUUCCUCGAUUGCAUAAUGAAGAGGCCAAUCGGUUGGCUCAGCGUGCCUCGGGAUAUCAGCCCAUGAUAAAUGCAAUAUCGGCAAUCGGUGCCGAUGAUUGGAGAAAAGAAAUCAUUGAUUAUUUAAAGGAUCCAUCCAAGAAAGUUGAGAGAUGUGUUCGGUUUCAAGCCACCAAGUAUGUACUCCUCGAAGAUGAGUUAUAUUACCGAACCAUUGAUGGGAUUCUUCUCAGAUGCUUAGGUGAUGAUGAGGCUAGAAGCUUGAUGGGAGAAAUCCAUAAGGGAGUGUGUGGAGCACAUCAGUCGACAUUUAUGAUGAAGUGGAUGAUCAGAAGAAACGGGUAUUAUUGGCCGACUAUACUUGAGGAUUGCUUUAAGUAUUUGAAAGUGUGUCAAGGAUGUCAGAAAUUUGGCAAUGUUCAAAGAGCACCCGCAUCGGCCAUGAAUCCUAUCAUCAAUCCUUGGCCGUUUCGAGGAUGGGCUAUUGACUUGAUCGACCAGAUUUACCCGCCAUGCAGCAAAGGACAUAAAUUCAUCUUGGUUGCCACCGAUUAUUUUACUAAGUGGGUUGAAGCUAUUCCUUUGAAGAAAGUUACAUCGGUCAAUUGAUUGAUUUGUGAAAGAGCAUAUUAUUUACCGAUUUGGAAUUCCUCAAACAAUUACUACCGAUCAGGGUACUAUGUUCACAUCAGGGGAGUUUGUGAAUUUGCAAUCGGUAUGGGAAUUAAAGUAUUAAACUCUUCUCCUUAUUAUGCUCAAGCUAAUGGGCAGGCCGAGGCAUCUAAUAAAGGAAUUAUCAAGCUUAUUAAGCAUAAAAUUGAAGAAAAUCAGGAGGUGGCACACGUUGUUAAAUGAAGCUUUAUGGUCAUACCGGAUGGCUUGUCAUGGAUCGACCAAGGUUUCACCUUAUCAGUUGGUAUAUGGGCAUGAUGCAGUGUUACCUUGGGAAAUUAAGACUGGGUCUAGGCGAUUAUCUUUUCAAGAUCAAUUGGUUGCUGUUGAUUAUGCUACGUUAAUGACAGACGAGUUGGAUGAUCUAGCAGGACAUCGGCUAAGGGCUCUGAUGAGUAUAGAAGAGAACAAGAAGAGAGUUGCCAGAUGGUAUGAUAAGAAGGUGAAGGCUAAGGAGUUUGCUGAUGGAGACUUAGUAUGGAAGUUAAUCUUACCGAUCGGGACUAAAAGUUUAAAAUUCGGGAAGUGGUCUCCCAAUUGGGAGGGUCCCUAUCGGAUAAGUCGAUCGGCUCCUGGUAACGCCUAUAUUUUAGAAACUCUUGAGGGAGUUAAAUUUCCUAGAGCAUUAAAUGGCAAAUAUCUAAAGAAGUAUUACCCAAUCAUAUGGGUCGAUGCAUAAAAGUUUAAAUGCCGAUAACAUUCCUAUCGGCUGGAUCAAAAUGUAUCUGGGGCCAGACUUAAUGUUUUAAAAGGUGCCGAUAACAGUCCUAUGAGCUAGACCAACACAUUAGGAGUGUUCAAAACAAAGGAGCAAGUAUAUUGCCGAUGAAGAGUUCACAUGUUCAAUAGCGCCUGGAUUGCCGAUAUAGCACGCAGACGGAUCUGGUUGGCUUCUUCUAUUACUUUCACAUCAUCAUCGGCAGAGCCUUCCACUGGCUUCAGAUUCUUCUUCAUCUGCAAUGUCGUGCGGGCUUGGAUAUUUCGCUCUUGCUCAAGAAGCUUGAUUGUCUCAGGCAGUUGGCUUUCUUCUUGUUGUGCUUGGGACAAGGCUUCUUCUACCUGUUUGAGUUCUGCCCACAGAACUUCUCUUCUCGCCGAUAGAUCAGAAAUCUUUUGUUUCAAUACAUCUCCUGAGGAUGUCAGGAUGCCGAUGCUCUUGUGUUUCUCAUCGGCAAGGAGUUUUACCUUCAUCAUCUCCUCAGAGAGCUGGGCAUGAGCAGCUCUAUCGGCAAGAUGUUGGGCAGCCCUCUGGUACUGCAGCUGACGGCUCUCUAGAUGUGUAGCUUGAAAGAGGAUUUCUUCAGCAUCGGCAGGAAUUUGGCCUCUGAGGGUCUUGAACAAAGCCUUGGCCGGGUUGGAGUCAUCAACCAGUUGGGCUGUGUCUUGAUGACGGAGGGCCGAUAAUUCUUCCAAUUUCGCCCUGAUUUCUGCCGAUGUGAUUCCAACUGCUCGAGAAGAGCUUGCCUCCUCGCCUUCAUCCUCAGAGAUGUCGAUGGCAAAGGAGAACAAACUGUCGGGAGAAUCUUGUUCCUGAAAAGGAAAUGAAACAAGUUAUUAUAUGGUCAAGUAUUGAUAAAUGAUACAGACAGAGAUUGGGUAACUUACUUGUUUCAGGGCAAUCUCUCGCCUCUGACUAGAUGAUGCCGAUGGAACCACAGGCUGAUCGGCUGGGGUUGCCGAUGGGACUACAUCAGCGGAAAGAUUAACAGAAGUAAUUAUAAGACGGGAAAAGUAGGUUCAUCGGUAAUGGUUUCAUGGAGAGUAUGUUACCUUGAGGGGGUGCAGCACUUGUCUGGAUCGAGGAAACUACCGAUGCUAUGAUUAAGUUUGCUGGAUCGGUAGUCUGCUCGCGCACAUCAGCCGAUGUUUCUUCCGGCUGAGGUACUUCUGGCUGGGGCUCUUCUGGUUGGAGUUCUUUCACUUGGGGUGCUUCUUGUGGCUGAGAAGGAGGUGGUACCUGCUGUGUUUGGGUUUCUGUAGAAGAGGGAGAACAUUCCACCGGGAUUGGAGAUACUGGGGGAGGAGAAGGCGUUGCUGUUAUUUGACGCUUUGCUUGUGAUCUGGUACUCUUGGCACCUUUUCUCUUCGGCUGACUGGACUGGGGGGCAUCGACACUUGUGGUUCUGGUCCUUGCCGAUGCGCCGGUGUGCUGUACCAUGAAUAAGAAUUCGUGAGUACAAGUGUAACAGGUGUAAGAAUGGAAUCGGUAAAGAAAUUUGAAGAUUUACCUUGAAGGCUUGCGCCAAAGCAGAGGCAGCUACCGAUGGAGAUGUUUUUGUUCGCUUGGUAGUGACUUUCUUGAGACGUACACCCUGAUGCAUUAUAGCAGCCAAGGUGGGAGCAUUGUUGCCGAUCGAAGAGAUUGGACCUGAUGGAAAAAGCUCGAUCGGCUUGCCGCUCCUGCUGACCGAUGGGGGAAUGUUAUCAACCUGUAAUAUAACACAGAAAGUGAGUUACCGAUGGAAGUAAAAGUGAAAGGAUUGAGACAUUGGAUUGGAAAUACUUACAGUGUUAUUGGGGACUUUGUACUGGGGGUCGAUCAUGCCGCGGUACGUAAGAGCCAAUUUGCAGAACAAAUGCUCCUUCCAAUCUUCCCACAAUUGUUUGUACGCCUGAGUGAUGAAGAGGGCUGGGACCCACUCUGAUAAAUCUGCAUCGGUAUUGGCACUUGGGGGCAGUUGAGCUACUCGGGUCCACUCGAGAAGGCUAGUGAUGGUUUCCCUGGGUUUUAUUACAUCGCCAUAACAGAGUGCAAUCGGCAGCUGACCGAAAGCUAGUUGACGGGCUAGUGCCGAUGGGUUGUAAAACUCAUAGGUCUAGUUGGAGGCUUUCCCACUGCCAAAGAAGUUUACUGGUAUAGCUCUGGGAGUGAUCAGCGCCAUCGUCACAUCAUGAUCCUUGUUCAGAGCAUCAUUGAACGGAUGGAACACCAAAGGAAACAUGGUGUCUGGAUCUUCAUAAGGCAUCCAUGCUCACUGUUCCCUGGUCAGGCCUUCGUAUAGGGUCUGGAAGAAUCGGCUGACCUGGUCUGUGUUGCCACCUGUACCAGGUAGAACUAUGAUAGCUUCGCCAAAGUUCAGAGGAGGACGAGUUGCCCAUUCUUCUUCAUCCAAUUCAUAAUCUUCGGCUAUAUCCCUAGGGAAGCAUUGUGCUAAGAGGUUGAACUCAAGACGCUUGUGCAUAUGGAGACUGAGCCACAUAUUGAUGAACCACCAGGGGCCCCCUAAGUUGCCGAUGGAUUGGUCGAGUAGGAGUUUUCUGGCUAUUUGAUGGAGGAGAUGGUAGGCAGAGCCAAGCAGGUAUCGGCCGAGUGGAAAUCGGUCACCAUUAGCUAAUCUCUCUGCUGCCGAUAGGUAGACAGAGGUUGGUCCUGCUGAUCGACCACAGAACAAAAAUUUGUCCAACCACAUAUUCAGAAAGGUGGUUUGUUCCUUUAUGUUGACAGGCCCCGUUCUACGGUACUUCUGAAUGUACCCAGACCAACCGCCGAUAGAGCGGGUUUCCACCUUGGCACUAGGUGUGGUGUCAAAUAUGUGACUACUAUCAGCAGUGGAUACAUCUAAGCCGGUGAGCAUAAGCACAUCGACAAGAGUGGGAGAAGUAGGGCCAUGACCGAAGACAAAGGCAUUAAGUGUCUGACUAGAAAUAUGAUGCAGCAAUCAGCAGUGAUUCGUUCCUAUGCAUAUCGGCAAGAGAUAGCCUAAUGCACUGGUCUAGUUUUCGUUCGCCCCAUUGAACCUCAUUCGAAUGGCUGACUCUCAAGAACCAAUCCUUCCAUCCCAUAGUAGGACUAGGCCAGGAAAGAAAGGUAUCUUUCCACAGAUCUAGAGAUAAAUUCUCGGCUCUAAAGGGGAUUCUGUUUGUUUCUGCGUUGAUCAGAUCGGUGGGAUCUGGGUUCCCUAGUGGACCGAGACAUUGGAGGUGUGGCUGAUCGGUAGAGAUGACAAUUUUAUUGGACAGAUCCUAAUGGUUUUUGGGGUAAAAGGAAGAAUGAAAGAAAAAAAAGAAGAAUGUUCAGUAAAAUAAAUUGCGGAUGAACAAGGAUAUGGUAAAAGUACAAGAGGUAGGGUGAUGAACUGACCUCGGGAACAGCUAAGUUGAUGGCCAUCUCCUCGCGAAGAAGAUGAUCGAAGACUUUGAGGUUGGUUAAGAAAGGUCUUCGUCGUAGUUCUUGGAGCUCUCGAGCAGCGCCGCCGCCAGAAAAGUAAAGUUAGAGCGCUGCCGAUGGGUUGUAAUACUAUUUAUAGGACAAAACAGGCAAGGGCAAAUCUGACUUAUCUCUUCGCCGUAUCCGUGAAAUCCGAGAGUACUCAGGUGGAUAUGGUAACUAUUCGCACGGUAAUCAAGAGAUUGCGCAGGUGAUUUGACAGGAAGCGGUCAUAAUCUAAAGAUAUUUCACUGUGCGGGAUUUCCUGGUCGGUCCAUCGGCAGCGCCUUGUAACGGUAAUACUGCCGAUGGGCGAAUAAAGUGAAGAUGUCCGUUUGGGAGGUUGAGAUAGUUCACUGUGCAGGAUUUCCUGGUCAGUCCAUCGACAGUUCCUUGUAACAGUAAUAUUGCCGAUGGGCGAUUAAAGUGGAGAUGUCCAUUUGGGAGGUUGAGGAAUUCGAGGCAUCUGCGGAAGAAUCGGGCCAAGGUUGUUCAGAUUUAGGCUGUCGGUUGCCUAAUUGGGAGAAUUAAUUGCGGAAAGGCAUCAUUACUGCAGAGAAUUUCGGAGCAUUAAUGAUUUCAUACUCCGAAAUUGGGGGGGCAUGUGUUGAUACCGUUUUUGGACACGUACCCAGGAUCGGUAGAGUGUAGACCAACAAGAUAAGGCAACAAUAACUGGUCUGCAGGAGAGUUGCCGAUGAGGGUGGUUGCCGAUGAAGGGACAGCUGAAUGUGACUAAGUCCAUGGGUGGUGAUGUGUUUAUGCCGAUGGUCAGCAUUAACCUGUGCCGAUGGCUACGAUGAGGGGUCUGCCGAUGAUUCGGAAGAAGAACCUAAAGGUUGUCAAUUGCCCUAUGGUGGUGUCCCAGUUUGUCACGGGAGGAUAGUUUUAUGUUUUCCUUAGUUAUUUAAAUCGUUUUGUAUACGGAUUCUGUUUAAUUUGGAAUUCGAGUUCUAGUCGUGUCUGAUUGUAGCUCUUUGAGCAGGGUAUAAAUGUAGACCCUAGGGCCAUGUAAUCGAUAUAUCUAUCAAUCAAUCAAACACAAGUUUUUACUCAUAUUCCAGCAUCUACUUUUCGACGACUUCAUCAUAUUUUCUUUUUCAUUACGAGUUCUUAGGAAUUCGUCGACUUAAGCUCGGUGUAUUCUCAAGUUCCGCGUGAAUACCUCUUGGCCGUGGCAUCCGGGCGCAUCGCUAUUGUCGGGACCAAAGUUUUCGAGUUAUCACCUUUGCCGAUAGUAAGGUCAAAUCGGCUGGCACGCCUUAACGAUUGAAUCAGGUAUUAGCCCUUUGUGUUUGCAGAUCAGCUUUUGCAUCAACACCACCUUUGUCGAUUGUAAGGUCAAAUCGGCUGGCACGCCUUAACGUUUGAAUCAGGUAUUAGCCCUUUGUGUUUGCAGAUCAGCUUUUGCACCAACAAUAUUGAUGUAGAACAAAGUCAUAUUCAUAAUAUUGAAGAACAAAGAUGAACAAUUGAAGAACAAUAGAGAAUUACAAAGAAUCCUCUUGACAGAUCCAGAAAACAAUCGAAGAUUGACUCCUUCUAGUUCUAAUCCUAUUUAGCUAUGAUAAUCUAGAUGUCUAAUUGAUGUGGUGGCUCUAGGCUUGAUCAGAGGCUUCUUCUCCCUUGAUGAAUAAUGAAUUAGGGUUGAGAGGCUCUCUCCUCCAAGGGCCAGGGGAUCUGGUUUUAUAGUCCUUCCAAGUGAAUAUGGGCCGUCGGAUCAAACCGACAUUGAUUGAAUGGUUAUCCUUGAUCCUUUAGGUCGGUGGAGCGUAAUCCCCAAAACGAACUCUGAUUGGACUCCAAAGGGGGGUGGGCGCCUGUUGACGGUCCUUAAUGCUCACAUUUAGCCAUCAACUAAUCAUGGAAAAGGAUCCAAAUGCAACUAACACCCAGACUUAGGGUUUUAUCUGACAGAAUUCCACGAGUUUUGGUGUUUGUCUAUUUCUGCAGGGGGUUAUCAGGAAAUACGGAACAAAGGCCCACACAUCGGGUUUACAUAGAGAUAUUAACGUGCCGUGCAAUUUUCUAUCAUCUAGAAGACUCCAGAAGCCAUGGAAACGAAGCAGAGGCCGAGAGGGCUCAGGGAUAGGGCGCCCGCCCAGCUACAGUGUCCAAUUUGGACCCGUUUCGCGGAUUAUGCUCCACCGACCUAAAGGAUCAAGGAAAACCGUGCGAUUAAUGUCGGUUUGAUCCGACGGCCCAGAUUCAUCUGAAAAGACUAUAUAAGCAAGGCCCCCUGGCCCCUGGAGAUCAUACCUCUUCUACAGAAUCAAAGCUAGGGUUUCAAUUCUUCAUCCAAGUAGAGAGGAUCCCUCUAGUUCUUCUAGUUCUACCUCUGGUUCAUCUAGAUCUAGUUCUAGUUCUAGUUCAUCUAGUUCAAUUUCUAGUUAGUUCUAGUUGUAAUCUAGAAAAUAGGGAGAGAGAAGAGGAGAGCGGAGGAGGAGCCGGAUAUGUCGGAUCUUCCUCAACAUUAUACUUUUGUAGCAUCUGGUUCGUUCUUCAUCGUUCUCUAGGUUCUUCAAUUCGUAAUUCCUGAGUUCUUUAAUUACUUUUAUUUACAUUCAUGUUAUUUAUUGGAUUCCCGCUUGCAUCAAGUGCUCUAGUCUUUAUAACGCUAGAUUGUUGUGGUAGCCUUAGGGUAGUGACAGCCCUAACGGUCGACGUAUUCCACCUCGUUCGGAUCGGUGUUUGUAGGACCGUAGUCAGACCUUCCUAGCCCCCUUCUCAUCUCUUUUUGUGGUUAGUGCUCUGAUGUCCCGAUAUAGAUAAUCUUGAAGUAAUUCUUGAUUCUUAGAUCAACUAGAGAACUCUCAGGAAACUUCUUCUCUUCCCACCAAAAAUAAUUAUAUAGUUAUCCUUGGGCAAUCUUGGAUCUUAAUUAGUACACUCACGUUCUCUGUGGAAAAUCGAUACUCUGGAAUACUCCCAGGCGAAAGCUACAUCGGUAUCCGUGCGCUUGCGGAUUUUUCUAUUUGCGUUUAAAAUACCCAACAAGCUUUCUGGCGCCGUUGCCGGGGAAUGGUAGCUGUGCUAGUUUCAUACAAGGUCGUCCGUGUAUCCUUUUUCUUUUCCUUUUUUACCACAUUCACCUUACCAUUUUCACCACACCACAUGGAUUUCACUCUAAGCAUUAAUGAGCAUGGAAUUUAUUUCCACUUCAUUUGCUCCAUGCUCAUAUGCAACAUUUUCACAAUCCAUUGGUCUCUCCAACAUCACCACAUUCGGGAUCUCCAACCCCCUCUUCCUUUCUAUUUAUAAAAACUUUAAAAGGGCGGUUGUUGAUGCAUAUGUCUAUAAUAAAUUUUGCAGAUCUCAUUGAGUUGAUCUUGAUAUAGGUCAGCGUUGGAGGGGAAACCACUUCACUGACAUAAAUUGAUGGUUUCCCAAGGACAAGCUUAGUGUCCUAAAAUAAGCACUGAUCAGAUUGUAACAUGAGCUUUUAAUUAUUUGCAACAUUACCUUGUGUAUUGAGCAUAUAAGGAUAAUUGUAAAAAAUUCCUUCGGGUAUUCUUGUCACUAACCUUUCCAGGAUUGGAGCAAGAAGAUCGGAUGAAUGACAAGCACAAGGUAUGUCCAACCAAUCAUCAUACAACAUUGAAUUAAAUUCAUCCAAACUUGAAUUUUGCAAAAUUCAAGCUUGAGGGAGUACUUUGCAUAAAACAUCCUUUGUCAUGUUGCUAUGUUGGUUGUCCCUACCUUUGUGAUAUGCUCAAUUUGUUAAAUACUAAUCACACUACUUCAUCUCCACUUGAGUAGAUCUCUAUAAAUGCUCUCAUGCUACCUUUAUUUGCUUUAGUAUAUGUCUAAGUUUGGAGUAGUUUCAUUUAUCUCUUAAUUAAGCAUGGUGCUUAGUUAGGAAUGUUGAUCUUACUUCCAAGGGAGUUUAAAUUAAGCAUGAUGCUUAAGUUAAAAUGCCAUCCUAAAUCAAAUUAGACAUGGUGUCUAGGUUGAUCUUUGAGCCAAUAGUAUGCUAUAGUAGAUAUUGGAUAUUUUGUUGGACUAACCCCUGCAGGAAAACUUUCAAUAUCCACCUGUGAAGUCCUGAGAUAAACUCACAUUGAAGACAAAGAGUGAGACACAUGAAGUUUAACAAUUUACACAAGGAAGGCAUAGCUCACAAGAGAUGAUCCAUGGAGGGUGCCACAAACACGAUGCACAACCGCUAAGAAAGGAAAGCUUCCACAAGGUGAUACUGUACCAUCACUCUUCAAGUAAGGUAACAUCUUAAGGUACUUGACUAUCACUUCUACAAGCUUCUCCUUGUUUCUGGCGUUCACAUAAAUAAAAGAGACAAACAUGUAUGAUUUACAACUCUAGAUUAACCAACCCAAUCGAUUCCACAUGUUUAGUCCUUCCACCUUUGUAAUCCCACACUCCUACUCAUAUAAACUAAAAUGUUGCACACUCAAUCUUUGGAAAAUGAUAGUCAUGUAAAGAAAAAAAUUUACUUAGAUAGAUUAUCUUUCCAUUAGGUUGAGCGAUCUGAUCUGACAAAUGUUUUAAAUGCCACACUCAUAAUCUUAUUAUCCAUCAACUUUGUCUUGCUCACUAUGCUUAAGAUUAGAGAAGAACAAAUACACUUUUGGUUCUGUUGGUGUUUUCCACAAACAGGGCCCUUGCACUUGAUCUCUGCCUUGUCUAUGAGCAGGUACACUUCGAGCAAAAUAUGAAGGACUUUUACAACUCCCAGACUCCACCUAGUGAAGAACCUAGAUCUACGAGUACAAACACACUGGAGAUACUAGACACUCGGGCAAUAACUGCCCUGAGAUGCUUGUGGACGUAACUACUGGAGUAACCCCGUUGUGGAAGCAAUUACUGACCUUCUACCGGUCAAGAGAGACAAUCCAGGACGCCCCGUCAUCCCGAUCUCCAUCGGCAUGGUGGACAUCCCAGAAGCACUCUACGACUUUGGCUCCAGCGUCAACAUUAUGCCCAGGGUACUCUAUGAAAAAUUCUUUACACAUCCUUUAUUAGAGACAGCCAUGUGUUUGUAGCUUGCAGAUCGUAUGCUAAGUUUCCCAAAGGGAAUAGUGAAGAACCUCUGCGUCUGAGUUGGUACCUUGUACGCCCCAGCAGAUUUCGUGGUGAUAGAGACUGGUACUGAUGAGAGUGCACCCAUCCUAGGGAGGCCAUUCCUGAACACCUCAGGAGCUGUCAUCUACGCUAGUGCUGCUAAGAUCAGUUUCUACAUCAAGGGGAGGAAGGAGACAUUUUCCUUCAAGAACAAGACUACACAAGUCUUAGAGUAAUCCCGACAUGAACCAAGGAAAGGACCAACAGGAGGAAUGGGAACAAGCAAAUGUGGACCAAGUUAGCUAAGAUGGUCACUGCAGUUCAAGGAAGUCAAGAUCGUCGACUUAAGUCACCGUUCCUCACCAAAAAGGAUGACCCAGCUCCGGAUGGCAGAUCAAACAUUCCGAAAGGUUGAAGGUUAUUGACAUGGGAGAAGACGAGUACGAUCCACCCAUCAUCCUUGGGAGACCGUUCCUCAGCACCGUUAAAGCAAUUAUCUACAUUGGAACCGGAGAAGUCCACAUGCACUUCCCCUCUGAGAAGGUACACUGCUAUUUUACUGACCCUAACUAUAUAGUUGAAGACUCUAAGCAGGUCAAGACAAGGAGAAGACGACGCAACCGCAAUCAGAGGAGGCAAAUCAUCAAGGACGGAUGGGCAGACUACGAAGGAGAUGUAGUAAGGUCUGAAGAUAUACAGCUUGAACAGAACUGUCCAGAGGAGACCGUAGCAUCGAGUCAGGUGUGGAGAGAGAAGACAGUUAUACAUGAAGACCAGGCGCCACCGGAACCACCGACUACACCAUCCAGCGAAUCCCAGGACGACUGAGAAAAUGGAGAGUCCCGUUCGGAGGACUUAAACACACCGAACGCCUUGCCAAGAGGUAAACUUGGUAGUUAUCCUUUUCCUUUCAAUUAUUUAAAAUAGUUUGCUUAGUUAAUCAGGUUUAUAUCAUCUUGAAAAGAAAAUAAAAAUGUUAGAAAUAGUAAGCCCCAUGUGAGUAUGGUCAUGGCAUAAAACCCAUAACUACAUUCACUGUGGUGGCAUAAAAAUAAAAUAAAUAUAUUUCUGUCCUAUAAAAAUGAAAAUAUAAAAUAAAUUUAUGAUCCUACUAAGAGAGUAACAUUUAUUGAGGAGGCUCAACAUGAUAAAGGCUAGGUAUUUAUGCUAACACUUAACCAGUUCCACAAAGCUUUGUUGUCUAUUUGAGCUCCACAGAAUUCAAGGAUCAAAGAAGACUAGUAGACAGAGGACAUCCUAAUCACUGUCAGGGUGCUGCCGACAUUCAAAUACACCUCUGCUACCUGCUAUCUACAUCAGAAGAAAUUACAUCAAAAUCUAGCUUGGGGGAGAGCACCCCCAUUUAUCCAGCUAAAUAUUUCUACUCGCAUUUAUACUUUUACUCAAAUAAUAAAAAGAUGCAUAAUCAUGAAAACCCAAAUAAAGAUUUUGUGAUUAUAUAUAUCUUUGUUUAGUUUGCUAAAUAAAUAAAUAAAUAAAGUUUGCUAUGAACCCUCAUGAUAAGCUCUCACAUGGAAAUGAUGAAUAGUUGCUCUGCCAUGACUAAUUCUCAAAAUUGAAAUCUCUCUCAAGUUUAGGCAUGACUGUUAUUAAUUAAGAUUUGCUCUAAACCUGAACUUGUGGGAAGAGUACUUGAUCUAAAGUCUAAGUCGUUAACGGAUAUGAUAUGAGAAGGUUGAGCUGCUGUUUAUCUGUUCCUAUAGAUGCUAGAAUUCUGGAGAUUUUUAUCUUUGAAAAUAUUUAAAAUGUUGCAUGAUGAGUUCCUGUAUGAUGAGAGUUUAAAUUCCUACCACAGCCAUAUAUACAUGCUUGCUAGACUAUGAGCCACACAUUUACUUUUUACUACUUAUGAGCAUUGAGUGUGGUCAAGCUGUGUAGACCCUUAGGAGCUUGUCAUGCGGUUAAAUCAAGAUUCACUUGCACGUUCACUCAUACACGCUACUUCUACUUCGGAAGUACGCAUCCACAUAUAUCCAUCCAUUUCCAUCUCCAGAACCACCAAAAAUAUUCUACUCCUAAUCCGGGAGAGAAUAGCCAAAAAUAUUUCUAUUUUUCCCCUGUGAAAUAAAUGCUCAAGUUAUCUUGUUACUACCACUUGCUAUAUUAUUUCAGGAGAUGAGUGCUCUAAAAAAGAGAGAAAAAAAGAGAAAGAAUACGAGGAAAUAAAAAGGGGCAAGUGCCUGGAACCUCGAAAGAAAAGAAAAAGUGAGACGAGAGGUAAAAAUGGACAAGUGUCCGACAGUAGAAUUAGGGGCAUAAGAUACCCACCUGAGAGAAAAGAAAAAAAAGAGAGAAAAUAUAGAGCAUUUCAUUCUCCCCAAAAGUUUCAAAAGAGCAAGGAAGGUAUGUGUCCCCUCAAAAGAGCACAAGUAGAAUUAGACUUUCACCAUUGUUAUCACCAUCAUCACCAUACACCAUUCAUUCGCCACACAUGCACAUUUUGAUUUGACUUAUUGACUUGUUCAUCUAGAUCCAUGGUUUGACUAUGCAAUAAAUGUCUUGUAAGUAUGUAUUAGCUGUCUCCCACCUAUGAGCUCCAGGUAUCAAAACCUUAUUACAGUAGGGUGAGAGAGAAGGCAAUGUCACUAUGCCUCAUACCAAAAAUACCACAUACUUUGAGAGAAGGCAUACACCUUUACUGCCUUGGUAAGGAUCCAGAAAUACCACAAAAGAGAGAUCUGAGAGAGUCAUACAAGGAAUCUCUGAGUUUUAUUUGAAAAUCUGCAAAAGCUCCAGAGCUAUAGUUGAUCAAGAAUAAGAGACAUGGUGCUUGACUAGACCGUUCUAUCUUUUAAUUGCUCAAGACAGAAGUGACGGUUACAAGCCCCAUGGUGGAAGGUAAAAUGAGUAAGUUUAAAUCUUAAAAGUUUACCUUAACCUAGAGAUGAGAUCUUGUUUGAACGCAUGUGUACUUUUAAGGCAUAAAACCACUGCAGAAACUCUUGAGUUCAUCUUUGCUCAGGGAUGAGCAAAUGUUAAGCUUGGGGGAGCUUGUCGACGGUCCUUAAUGCUCACAUUUAACCAUCAACUAAUCAUAGAAAAGGAUCCAAAUGCAACUAACACCCAGACUUAGGGUUUUAUUUGAUAGAAUUCCACGAGUUUUUGUGUUUGUCUAUUUCUGCAGGGGGUUAUCAGGAAAUACGGAAGAAAGGCCCACACGUCGGGUUUACAUAGAGAUAUUAACGUGCCGCGCAAUUUUCUAUCAUCUAGAAGACUCUAGAAGCCAUGGGAACGAAGCAGAGGCCGAGAGGGCUCACGGACAGGGCGCCCGCCCUAGUUCCUUGGGCGGCCGCCCAGCUACAGUGUCCAAUUCGGACCCGUUUCGCGGAUUAUGCUCCACCGACCUAAAGGAUCAAGGAAAACCGUGCGAUUAAUGUCGGUUUGAUCCGACGGCCCAGAUUCAUCUGAAAAGACUAUAUAAGCAAGGCCCCCUGGCCCCUGGAGAUCAUACCUCUUCUAGGGUUUCAAUUCUUCAUCCAAGUAGAGAGGAUCCCUCUAGUUCUUCUAGUUCUCCCUCUAGUUCAUCUAGAUCUAGUUCUAGUUUAUCUAGUUCUAGUUCUAGUUCCCCUAGUUCUAGUUCUAGUUCUAGUUAGUUCUAGUUGUAAUCUAGAAAAUAGGGAGAGAGAAGAGGAGAGCGGAGGAGGAGCCGGAUCUGUCGGAUCUUCCUCAACAUUAUACUUUUGCAGCAUCUGGUUCGUUCUUCAUCGUUCUCUAGGUUCUUCAAUUCAUAAUUCCGGAGUUCUUUAAUUACUUUUAUUUACAUUCAAGUUAUUUAUUGGAUUCCCACUUGCAUCAAGUGCUCUAGUCUUUAUAACGCUAGAGUAAUAAUUAAUAGAUUAGACGUGGUGUUUAGUCUUGCGAUUACCUAGAAUUGCACCCAAUCCUGCGGAUUGUUGUGGUAGCCUUAGGGUAGUGACAGCCCUAACGGUCGACGUAUUCCACCUCGUUCGCAUCGGUGUUUGUAGGACCGUAGUCAGACCUUCCUAGCCCCCUUCUCAUCUCUUUCUGUGGUUAGUGCUCUGAUGUCCCGAUAUAGAUAAUCUUGAAGUAAUUCUAAAUUCUUAGAUCAACUAGAGAACUCUCAGGAAACUUCCUCUCUUCCCACCAAAAAUAAUUAUAUAGUUAUCCUUGGGCGAUCUUGGAUCUUAAUUAGUACACUCACGUUCUCUAUGGAAAAUCGAUACUCUGGAAUACUCUCGGGUGAAAGCUACAUCGGUAUCCGUGCGCUUGCGGAAUUUUCUGUUUGCGUUUAAAAUACCCAACAGCGCCCUGGUCUUUAGGGCGGGCGCCCUGGGCAAGGCCCCAUUCUGCAUCCACUUCGUUCCCGUGGCUUCUGGAGUCUUCUAGAUGUAAGAUAAUUGCGUGGUACGUUAAUAUCUCUAUGUAAUCCCGACGUGUGGGCCUUUCUUCCGUAUUUCCUGAUAACCCCCUGCAGAAAUAGACAAACACCAAAACUCAUGGAAUUCUGUCAGAUAAAAGACUAAGUCUGGAUGUUGAUUUCAUUUGGAUCAUUUUCUUUGUUUAUUUGAUAAUUAAAUUUGAUACUUAAGGACUGUCAACAUGUGUGUCAAAAAUAUUAACCUUGGAUCAAGCUUGACAAGCAUUAGUUUUCUUUCAAGUUUUGCAUUGCACUUCUUAUCAUAUGCAUGCUUGUUGAUUUACCAUUUCUUUUUGGUUAUGCUUUGAGCAUCCGCUGUGUUCGUGCAUUGAUAGGAGGAACAUUCAAAGCUCAUCAUGAUUUAAACCCCUAGCUUUAUUGCCAUACGAUGCUCCUCGGUGCUUUCACUUGAAUAUUUUCAUAAAAACUACUAUGCCUAAAGCUAAAUAUUUGUGAAAAUUUGAGGGUUUGAGAGAGGUCACUCAUACCAAUUCCAAUUUGUGUUUAUUUGAGUCUUCUUGAAGUUGGAACUUGGUUGGGUGAAAGUAGGGCAAAGUUCCCAGUUGAAAAACCUGCCAGAGUUGCACCGGAUGAUGCACUGGACGCACCCCCAGUGCGUCCGGUGUGGUGAGUCUGCUGGUCAGCACUCACUGGACACGCGCACAGUGUCCUAAGGGCAUCCGGUGAGGUGCGUCCGGUGGUUCACCCUAGCCUGCCCUAGGGCACCGGACGCCAGUCCAGCAUCCGGUGGCCAUCGUCCGGUGCUCGGACGUUUUGCGGGGCUCCCUGUGUUUUAGUCUGGUGGUCACCGGACGCCUCCGGUGCCCCUUUAAGAGCGCCCGGUGACCCCGCAGCGAGUGGAUAAAGCUCGAACCCCCCCUCUUCAUGGCCAGUUUUCUUUUUCCUCUCGCAAACUCGCCCAGCAGCUGUGCCCGUGCCCUAAAUCGUCGUGACACCGCUGUCGUCGUGGCAGUGCUUCCCCUCUGAAGUUUCUUAGUUUCUCGGUGCCAAGGAGACUCCCUUCCUCGAUCUCCUCCCUCCUGCACUCCCUGUUUCUCUUCUAGGGUUUGGGGUGAGUCUCUUGAUCCCUGCCCUUAAGGUGUUCAAUUCAAUGCCUAAACAGAUUUGAAUGUUGUUUUUGAUAGUAUUCUCCUUCGUUUAUCUUUCAUAGCACCUUGAGGAGUUUGUUUGCGGUCUCUGGUGUAUUUCGAUCGUGAUCUUUCAUCCGGGACACAUCUGGUCGCCCGAUCAUAAGCAGUUCACGUCCAUUCUUAUCUAUAUCUUGCGAUCUAUAGUGUUUUCUCACCUCUAGUUAUUAUGUGUGCUUAUAUAUACCCUAUCUAUUCUGUCUCUUGCAGCAUGUAAUCUCUUUCUGGUAGUUGUCAGUGGCAGUUCAACUUGGGGCCAAGCCCGCGAGUAUGGAUUGAGGCCAAGCCUCUAGAGUGUCAAAUUGUUAGUUGUCCACAGCCUCUCAGGAUUAGGAUCUUGCAAUGGCACGUUGCAAGAACGUCAGUGGUCCAACAGCCGGCAGUGGUGGCACUCCAGUGGCGAUGGGGGAGAUGAUAGGCCCCAUCGUUUGACAGCUGCGGAGAAGGGAAAAGGAAACAAAGUGGCUACCAAGAAGAGGAAGGCCAGUGACAGAGAGGCAGAGAUAGCCGAGGUAGUGGUAGCAGCAGCAGAGGCAGCAGAGAGGGGUGGUCGCUCAGGUGCUCUGAGGAUCGGAUCUGACCUCACGAUAGCUCAGAGGCGUGUAGUACUUGAGGUUGAGCAGCGACAUAGGACUCCACCUGGCACCAUCAGACGCUAGCACCGGACACUCUGUGCGUGCAUCCAGUGAGGUUGUUUGCAGUCAGAGUGACUGGUGCCUAGGGUUAGGCACCGGACGCUAGCACCGGACUCACCGCGUAGCAUCCGGUCCUAAACCCAGGGAGGUCUGAAAUUUAACCAAGGCACCGGACGCUAGCACCGGACUCACCGGGUAGCGUCCGGUCCUAAACUCAGGGAGGGUGUAAGGUUCACCCCCACACCGUACGGUGUCACCGGACACUCAGAAGUAGCGUCCAAUGCUCUGUCAGAGGCAAGUACAGCACCGAGCGUCCGGUGCAACAUCAAUAGUGUUCGGUGACCCCGUUUUCAUUGUAAAAUGGUUGGCCAACCCUUGGACUUGAUGGGGUGUAUUUAUACUCCUCCACCUCAUCCAUGGGAGGUCUCUUGCCCAUUUGAUCGGUUGAGAAUCACCUUGUGGUGCAAGAGAGAAGCUAGAGCCUAGAGAGGAUUGAGAUUUGAGAGAUUUCUUGUGAGAAUCCUUCUCUAGUGGAAUUCCAAGAGUCAAGUGUGCAUCCACCACUCCCUAGUGCCUUGUUUGGGUCAAGUGCGAGUUCAUUGUUUGUUACUCUUGAUGAUCGCCAUCACCUAGAUUGUUCGGUGGUGAUUGGAGGCACGAAGACCGCCCAAAGUUAUUGUGGGUGGCUCGUGUCAAGCUUGAGAGCGGUUUUGGGCGAUUCACCGUGACGGAGUGUCAAAGAAUCAGCCUGUAGAGAGCACUUGGUCCUUGCGCGGACCAAGGGAGAGCAAGACCCUUGCGCGGGUGAUCGAACGAGGACUAGUGGAGAGUGGCGACUCUCCGAUACCUUGGCAAAUCAUCGCUGAGCACUUUCUUACCCUUCUCCUUUACAUUCUAGCAUUUACUUUGUGCAAUUACUUUGAGGUUUUACAUUCCUAGAAUUGCCAUGCUACAAUAGGAUUGGAACUAGGAUGCAAAACUUUUAUCCGGUAGCUCUCUAGUCACAUUAGGCACAAGGGGUUGAAUUGGAGCUUAUAGGUUGCUUAAAUUUUUAGAGAAGCCCAAUUCACACACCCUCUUGGGCAUCUUGAUCCUUUCAUGCGCUACACUUGUGCCUUGUGUUCGAUCAUCUCUAAAGGGUGCCCUGCCUCCCCUUUUAUAGCCACAAGGGUUGGCCGGGCCUUUACAUGUGUAAGCCUGUAAAUUAUCUCUAGUAUGUGGUGGAGUCACAGUGCCGACAAUGUGGAGAUCGGCCACCUCAUCCUUGGGGCAUGACUGACGGCGUGGUCGUCCCUGUGGAGCGUCGCUAAGCCCUGUUUGGAUCAUGGAGGUCAGGUCUAGGGCGCUGCAGCUUGUCUUGCAAUAGUGUAACAGUGACUGCCAAAGCAUGGCCACAGUGGCUGGGGUUAAUCUCCUCCCAUUCCUCUUACUGUCGGGCAUUGCCUCACAGUGAUAGAGGUAAGGCGACAUAGUGAUGGGUGUUGUUGGAACAGUGGUUGGCACGCCCUGCUGCAGUGUGUGAGGUAUGGCGCACGUCGCAUUAGGGGUACGACCAUCGUGUAUUGGAAUCCUGGUAGCGAGGCCGAGGCUUGGGCGAAGCACUGAUUGCGCUCGAGGCCGUGGUGUCGGGCGAGAUGGAGAUUAUGCCUGAGGCCAAGGGGUCGAGCAAGACGGAUAUUGCGCCCAAGGCCAAGGGGUCGGGCGUCGCUUUUACUGUUUUUUGCCGCUUCUUGCCCUCUUGAUUUAGGUAUCCUGGUUUAUGGUACCCAAUAGUAGCCCCUGAGCUUUUGAGGGGCUGGGAUGCUCCUCCAGAGGCUUUUUUUAAGGGUUAACUGUUAGACUGAGACUCUUAUUUCCUCCGGCGGGUGCGCGCUAGCGCACCCACCGGGUGUAGCCCCCGAGCCUUUAGAGGAAUGGUGUUAUUCCUUCAAAGGCUUUUACUCCUUUUGCAUUCUAGGGAGUAUCUGGGGGAUGCGGUACAACUUCUUUACAUGCAGUGCAUGUCCCCACGGCGUAGGUGAAGCCCCCGAGCCCUUGCCCAUAGGCAACGAUCGGUCAGGGUCUUUCCCAACUUUAUUUUGCGCCUCUCAUUCAUCCUUUCAUUUGGGGGAGGGAUGGGAAGCGCCGCACUACCCUUGGUGGGCGAGUAACGACAUUCCCGGGGAGCUGCUAACGGUAGGUCCAAAUGGAUGUCCGAGUCCCGUUUGAUAGGGGUCGGCUUGCGGCCUUAUGGGCACAUCUCAAAGUACCUGAGGUAGUCAUAGUGGAUGUUAGGACUAUUCGAUAGGUUCUGAGGGCUCGAUGCCUCCUUCGAUGGGAUUCCAUUCAUGUGACACCAGCAUCUGUCUCAGACACGACUGUCAGGGAUGCGUCGAACCUCUGUGGGGCUCGGACCGCGGCCUCUCUUGUGCUCAUCCACAGUCAUCCCUCGCUCGAUUAUCCUGAGGCAACUAUUCGAACCCACUUUGUAGGUCAGUCUAACAACCUCUGGACCGUAAGAGGCCACGGCCUGGGUUUCUUACCAGAGGAGGUAUCGAUUUGGGCGUAGAAAGGUGGGUCGGGCGCCCCUUGCCUUUGAAGGAAGCACCUAGAUCCGGUCGGCGGGGCGCUCCUUUUGAGGCGACUCGCGUUGGGAGUCAGAACAACCACGUCAUCGUGCCAAAUCCAGAUGGGAUGUUUUGCCUGUUGUGGGGGUAUAAACCCCUAUACCCUUACGGCUAGACUUGGGCCAGGAGGCUUGGCCCAUCAUGAGGACAGUUCGAGGCUUGAUCCAACUGCUCGGAGUUUCGCGCAAGGAAACAAGACAUAGAGAUCAAGCCUGAUUUUGGUCAGUUAGAAUAGGAAUUGAUAUCGUACUAUCUAUGGCAAUUGUAACCGACUAGGAUUAGUUUCUAGAUCUGUAACCCUGUCCUCCGGACUAUAUAAGGAGGGGCAAGGGACCCCCCAUAGGACACAUUAUUCUCUCAACACAAUCCAAUAUAAUCAGACGCAGGACGUAGGUAUUACGCCCACACGGCGGCCGAACCUAGAUAAAAACCUUGUCCGUGUCUUGCGUCACCAUCAAGUACGUAGCUUCCGCACCGUCUACCGAUAAACUACUACCGUGGGUAUAACCCAAGGUAGACUGCCAACUAGCUUUCGUCGACAGUGGCAUGCUAGGUAGGGGGUGUGCGUACAGCUCUCUCGGCGAACAAGAUGGUCAUCGUUCCAGCUUCCGUGGCCGUGCCUGAAGGCCUCACAUUCACCGUCAGCCAGAUCAUGUGGACGACUCAUGGCGGCGGCCUCACGACCACGACUUCGGAAGAAACCCAGAUCCGAUCUGGGACGACUGCGACAUCGACUCCGAUCACGCUGACACCGAGCACUCGACCACCGCUCCCUCGUUAUAGGGGAAAAAAGGUCGACGACUCGAAUCUUUUCUGAGCCCUUGAUCGUGCCGAUCUCAGGCUCCUCGAAGCUUCCCGACUAGUAGAUGGGAUCUCACGCCAAUCUGAUCAAGUGGCGCCGAUGGACUAUUUCGACUCCUGCCGGCCAACUCGUGUCGUCACACACGAACGGUUGGGGACGUCUCUAACAAUAACUUCCACCCCCACGGGGCGGUCUGUCGAACUCAAGGCAGACCCAGACCAGAGUCCUCCCUAUGGGCUAAACAACUCGGCCGUUCACUACUCACGGCACAUCCAAUCGCUUUUCAACAGUGCGGGAUGGUCGUCGAGACAGAGCAGUCGACCAGCUCGCCAUCACGUCAACAUGGUGUCAAUCCAAGUACUGCCGAACGAUCAGACCUCCAGCACAAACUCCAGCAUAGGGUCCAUCCCUACCGAGGUUAUAAACUCUGAAGACGAAGAUUACGACCUGGAUUUACCACCGUAUCCCCCGGGUUUUUCUCGCUUUCCAGUCUUUCCACCCCGGCGGGGAGAUCUUAUCUUCAAUGUCAGCAACGACGAACCGGUCGUCGACGGAGAGACAGACGAACAGAAGCAGCUCCGCGAACAGCGCAAUGCCGACCACGCCUGACGGCACGUGGAUGAGGAACGACAAUUUGCGCCGCAUAACCUCAGCGACGCUUUCGACAUGGUCAGAGAUCAGCAAGUCUACAAAACGCCAAGUGCUAACGUGGCUGUCGCUAUGGCGAACCUAGACCGACUCCCUGAUACUCCUGAGUGCCAGGGUGUCUGAUCUAGCGUAUGCGCACACCUGAUCGCCGCAAUGGGAUAGACAGCUACCUUACUCAAAAGGGUCCAAGCUGUCUCCUACGCAGAGGUCUCUUCCGACCAGACUCAUCGCAGCCAGACUUCACCACGACUCAGCGAGCGCCACCACAGCCGCUCUCCCAAUAAUCGUAGGAAGGAUGCGGGGCGUGGCAACAGUGGUCGGGACACCGGCGGCUACCGCGAUCAGAAGCGAGGGCAUGGUCAGGAAGUAAACCAAGACAGGGAUCUACGAUACAACAUCCCUCCCAAGGACGCCCGGGACCGCAUCAACAGGCGCACCACGGAAAGAGCGGUGCACGAAAACUUGCGGCGCAUUGAGUACGAUGCCGCGCACGGCCCCCCAGCCUGAGAUAGUUUUCAUCGCACCUUCGCCAAGUCGUAUGGCCCCACAACUUUAAACUCGAGAAGAUUAAAAAAUACGAUGGCAAGGAAAACCCAGAAAACUGGAUCACUCGCUACGAGAUUGCAGUCCGUUCAGCAGCAGGAGAUGAGCACGUCAUGGCUAACUACUUCCCAGUUGUCCUCGACCAGGCUGGUCAUCAGUGGCUCCUUGCCCUGCCCGAGGACUAUUUUGACUCCUGGGAAGAACUACGCCAGGCAUUUAUCGACAAUUUCAUCGCUACCUGCGAGCAGCCUGGGAACAAGUACGACCUCGAGAGAAUAUGGGACAGGAAAAACAAGCCUCUGCGCGAUUACAUCCGACGAUUCUAGGAUAUGCGUCUUAAAAUCCCAAAAAUUUCUCACGACGAGGCCAUAUCCGCUUUCAUCAAAGGGCUACGCUUACACGAAGCACUGAGGAACAAGCUACUGUGCAAAAGGCCAACCACGAUGGCUGAGCUCCUUGCCACGGCAAAAAACUACGCCGACGCCGAUGACGCAGAAAAGCUCAUCCGAGAGGAUGCAAGAGGUCCCGACCAGCCUCCCCGACGGGACGACAGUCGUGGUCGUUUUGACAAUAGGAACCAUCGUCGCCCCGACAACCGCGACCAUAGAGAAGGUUGGGAUAGGCGGCGUGAUAAUCGAGACGACUUUAGGGGCAAGCGACCACGACCACGAGGUGAAUAUGGUCAAGUGCCCCAUUGGGCAGCAGGACUACCAGGAAGAUUACAACAAGACGUUGAAGGGACCGUGCCAACUUCACCCCAAGUCCAAUCACAUGAUGGAAGAAUGUCGUGUCCUCAAAAGCAUCUACACGCAGCGGGCUGCUCAAGACGAUUCUGCUAAGAAAAACGGAAAGCAGGACGGGCGCGGUCACGAAGACGAAGACGACAUCCAGGAUAGGGACCCACGACACCAGUAUGUCAAUCCUACCGACGUGGUCCACUCCAUCUUCGGAGGCAAAGUUUCCAUCGAGUCUAAGCGAGAAAGAAAGCUCCUGAAGAGAGCCUGCCUCAACGUGGACAGCACAGACGGUCUGAUCGCCGAUCCGAAAUUUCCUCCCUGGUCGCACAGGGAGAUCUCCUUCAGCAGGAAGGAUCAAUGGGCCGCCAUCCCAGAGCCAGGACGUUUCCCUCUAAUCCUGGAUCCUUGCAUCAACAGCAUCAGAUUCGAGCACGUGCUCGUUGAUGGGGGAAGCUCCAUCGACAUCCUUUUUCGCAACAGCUUGCCUGCUCUCAGGAUAACCCCGGCAGAACUAAAACCAUAUGACACACAAUUCUAGGGAGUCCUGCCAGGUCAAAGUUCAGUGCCCCCCGGACAGAUAACACUGCCUGUCCAGUUCGGAACGCCCGACCACUUUCGAACAGAGUUCGUCAACUUUGUGGUCGCCGACUUUGACGGCACUUACCAUGCAAUUCUAGGCCGACCAUCGCUGACAAAGUUCAUGGCAGUUCCACACUACUCAUACCUGGUCCUCAAAAUGCCAACAGAGAAGGGCGUCCUAACUGUCCGAGGCAAUGUCUAUACCGCAUACACUUGCGAGGAGGAAAGCUUCAAGAUCACCGAGGCAAUUGACCUCUCAAUCCGCAUGGCAGAAACCGUAGCCCAAGCCAUGCAGCUUCCACCCGACCAGCUUCGACUGCCCGAGCAGGAGACUCCGAGGAAAAAUUAAAAGUCCAAAGAGCACAAGGAGGUACAGCUGGUCGACGGCAGCCCCGAGAAGACGACCCUCAUCGGGGCCAACCUGGACCCCAAAUAGGAAGAUGCGCUCGUCAGGUUUCUAAGGGACAACGUGAGCGUUUUUGCAUGGAAACCCGCAGACAUGCGCGGCGUCCCACGAAACCUGAUCGAGCACUCCUUAAACGUCUCGAAGACUGCAAGACCCAUCAAGCAAAAGAGACAACGGUUCGCUCGUGACAAAAAGGAGGCUAUUAGGACAGAAAUAACGGGGCUUCUAGCAACCGGAUUCAUUAAAGAAGUGUAUCAUCCCGAAUGGCUUGCCAAUCCUGUUCUUGUAAGAAAAAAGAACAAUGAAUCGAGAAUGUGCGUUGAUUACACUGAUCUCAAUAAACACUGUCCUAAAGAUCCUUUUGGUCUCCCUCGCAUCGACGAGGUGGUCGACUCAACGGCCGGAUGCGAACUCCUCUCUUUUCUAGAUUGCUACUCUGGUUAUCACCAGAUCUCACUAAAGGAAGACGACUAGAUCAAAACAUCUUUUAUCACUCCUUUCAGUGCGUAUUGCUAUACGACCAUGUCCUUCGGACUCAAAAACACUGGAGCCACUUAUCAACGGGCUAUUCAGCAAUGCCUCCAUGACGAGAUUCGUGAUGACCUCAUCGAGGCCUAUGUAGACGACGUCGUCGUCAAAACAAGUGGAAGCACUCUAAUCGACAACCUAGACCGAACCUUUAAGGCGCUAAAUAAAUACAAGUGGAAGCUUAGCCCCAAAAAGUGUAUCUUUGGGGUCCCCUCCGGUCUGCUACUCGGCAACGUCAUCAGCCGCGACGGCAUAUGACCGAAUCCCUCAAAAGUAAAAGUGGUGCUCGACAUGCGACCACCCAAGAACGUCAAGGAUAUUCAAAAGCUCACCGGUUGUAUGGCUGCUCUCAGCCGUUUUAUCUCUAGACUGGGAGAAAAAGGCCUUCCCUUCUUCAAACUUCUAAAAGCAUUGGAAAAAUUCUCCUGGAUAGAGGAAGCUGACGCUGCGUUCAACUAGCUCAAAACAUUCCUCACCUCACCACCCGUUCUCACAGCACCUCAACCCAACGAGGAUCUGCUCCUUUACAUAGCAGCGACCUAUAGGGUUGUCUCCACGGCAAUGAUGGUCGAGCGAGACGAGCCAGGCCACGUAUACAAAUUCCAGAGACCCAUUUAUUUCAUAAGCGAAGUCUUAAGUGAGUCCAAGACCAGGUACCCUCAGAUACAGAAGCUCAUCUACGCCAUCUUAAUAACUUCAAGGAAUCUAAAGCAUUACCUUGACGGUCAUCGUGUCCUGGUAACCACCAGUUUCCCUUUGGGGGACAUUUUGCGCAACAACGACGCCAACGGCAGAAUUGUAAAAUGGUUAAUGGAAUUAUGCCCAAUCUCCCUGGAUUUCCAGAGCCACACUACCGUCAAGUCUCAGGCCCUGGUCGAUUUCAUCGCAGAAUGGACGGAUCUCAACGAGCCCUCCAUUUCGGACACUCCCGACCACUGGUCGAUGUUCCUCCACGGUCCCUAAACAUCAAUGGCGCCGGCGUCGGGAUACUCUUCAUGUUGCCUAACAAGGACAAACUACGCUACGUCCUUAGGAUCCUCUUUCCAGUGUCGAACAACAUCGCCGAAUACGAAGCAUGCCUACAUGGCAUACGACUGGCUGUCGAACUGGGAGUCAAUCGCCUCUACGUCCACGGCGACUCUGCCCUGGUCAUCAACCAGCUAAACAAAGAAUGGGACACAACCCACGAAAAGAUGGAUCUCUACUGUAAAGAAAUUCGCAAAUGGUAAUCCAAUUUCUACGGCAUAGAAUACAUCCAUGUGGUCCGGGAAAGGAACCAGGCAGCAGAUGCGCUGUCAAAGUUAGGAUCAUCCCGCGCCCAAAUUCCGCAAGGCGUUUUUGUUCAGGACAUCCACACGCCAAGUGUGGGUACAGACCUGGUUGAAAAGCAACCCAAUGAGGCAAUGCUCAUAGACGACACCACUCCGGCAACCAGCAGCCGUGAUUGGCGCGCCCCCUUCAUCAGGUAUAUAUCGGAUGGAUCGGGUUUUCAAGAUAAAACGGAGAUCGAGCGCCUCAUUCGACGGUCCAAGAAUUACAUACGAGUGGAUGGCAAACUUAUGCGAAAGAACACAAUUUCUAAAGUGUUGCUCAAAUGCAUAUCUCAAGAUGACGGCGUCAAGCUUUUAGAUGACAUACACGCCGGGUCCUGCGGCAACCACGCGGCCUCCAGAACACUAGUAGGGAAAGCCCUCCGAGCAGGUUUUUACUGGCCAAAUGCGGUCGCCGACGCCGAGAAACUGGUCCGACAUUGUGAAGAAUGCCAGUUCUUUGCCAAGAGGACCCACGUGCCUGCUCACGAAAUUCAAACUAUUCCGUCGUCCUGGCCUUUUGCCUGCUGGGGUCUCGACAUGAUCGGGCCAUUUAAGCCGGCCCCCGGCAAUUUCAAGUUCGUCUUCGUACUAAUCGACAAAUUCUCGAAGUGGAUCGAGUACAUGCCACUAGUCAAAGCAACCUCUGAGAAGGCUGUGGAAUUCCUCAAUCAAACCAUACACAGAUUCGGGAUCCCCAACAGCAUAAUUACUGACCUGGGCACUCAGUUCACUGGCACUACAUUCUGGGAUUUCUGUGAUGACAGGGGCAUAGUCAUAAAGUACGUGUCAGUGUACAUGCCACUAGUCAAAGCAACCUCUGAGAAGGCUGUGGAAUUCCUCAAUCAAACCAUACACAGAUUCGGGAUCCCCAACAGCAUAAUUACUGACCUGGGCACUCAGUUCACUGGCACUACAUUCUGGGAUUUCUGUGAUGACAGGGGCAUAGUCAUAAAGUACGUGUCAGUAGCUCACCCACGGGCCAACGGUCAAGUAGAGUGAGCAAAUGGAAUGAUUAUUGAUGCUCUAAAGAAAAGGCUGUACACCGAGAACGACAGAGCACCAGGACGAUGGAUGAAAGAGUUACCGGCUGUGGUCUGGGGACUACGAACACAGGCUAGUCGCAAUACUGGUGUAUCACCCUACUUCAUGGUUUACGGCACCGAAGCAGUGCUCCCGUCUGACGUAUGCUUUGGAUCUCCAAAAGUCAAAAAUUUCGACCAGUCUUCGGCCGACAUCGCCAGGGAAGUUGAAAUCAACUGCAUGGAAGAAAAGCACCUAAUCUCAUGCCUUCGAACAGCAAAGUAUCUCAAGGCCAUUAGGCAGUAUCACAACAGGAACGUCAAAGACCGUUCCUUCGUGGUCGGUGAUCUGGUACUCAAGUGGAAAACAAGCCAAGAAGGAACGCACAAGUUAUCCACACCUUGGGAAGGACCCUUUGUGGUCGCCGAAGUCACACGCCCUACAUCUUACAGACUGGCAUACCCAGACGGAACACGCCUGCCUAAUUCUUGGCACAUAGACAAACUGCACCGUUUCUAUCCAUAAGUUCCAGUACUUUUCGUUUGUAAAUUUCUUAUGAUUAGCAAUAAUAAAAUCUUUUCUUUUCCGCUAUAUACUUUUUUAUACGCAGAACUUUCGACAACUGCCACAAUCUCCUUCUAGGACCAAGAUCCUUAAUGAUUAUUAACUCAACUCAGUGAUACAUCACUCACACAAUGUUGCAGCGCUCAAAACCAUGGUUAUGACAAAUCAAUCUUUAUUACAAACUUUACAUACAAAGUUUACAAUAAACACCCCUCUAGGCGGUCCCUAGUCUACUCCUACAGACUACUCUACAGGUCUACUGCUCGGGCUGAUCACCCGCACGGCCCUGCCCCAUCUCUGGCAAUGGACGCUCCUGACAAAUCUCUAGCCGACCUGUCUAACCCAGGCUGAUCGGGGGGAGUUGCUGUCUCGUAGAGGUUGAUGUCGCCGAUCACUGUCGACGACAGAUCAAGCAGACCAACGCGAAGGUCGUCUGCCUCCUGUGGACGAACCUCCUUGGGGUACCCCCUCUCCAGUCGGGACAGGUCGACCAGAGGAUAGUGAGCGCGCACCGUGCUAAGGACGUGCGCGCCGGCGAAUUCCCGGCAUCCAUGACAAACUGUUGGAGCCAGUCCCACGCCCGUUGCGCCUUCUCGACCGGAGUCAGCUUCGGUGCGCAGGGCUGGUCUUCAGGGAGCUCGGGGCUGAUCAAAUCAAGAACUGGGGCCACUCCUUUCCAAAGCUUGAUGCAGUUGGCCUUCCAGGAGUCCCGGUCCUUGAUCAGCUCGUCGAGGUGCUUCUUGGUGUUUACUUUGAGCACUGAGAACCAAGCAGGAAGUUAGUGCGCACAUAAGACAAGGAACGUCGAGCAAUCAAAGAAGAAGGCAACACAGUUCUUACCAGUCAACUCCCGAUUCUUGUUGCUUAACUCCUCACCAGCUCGGUGCCCGGCCUCCAGCGCGCCGGCAUGCUCCUGGUCGAGCCUCUCUUUUUCUUGUCGGAGGCGCGCAACCUCCUCCUCCAAGUCUGCAGGAGCAAUUUCUGGUCAACAAAAACGACUACAUGGUUAUAUACAGCUGCUCAGAAUACAUGACUGACCUCUCCUUUCCCGAUCCUUGUCGGCCAACCGCCGAUUGAGAUCGAGCAGGCGCUCUUCCUGAGCACCAUCUCGGUCGUCUUCUCCUCGGCCUCCGUCCGAAUCCGGUCUACCUCCGCGGACAGGGCCUUGUUCUCAGCCACGAUCCCCUCAAUCUGGUCGAAGCACCUUUUCCGGUACUUCAUCGUUUUCAUUGCACCCUACAGGAGUUACGCAUUAAAGUAAGCAACAACGCAUAAACAUCUCAAGCAGAAUACAAGACCACUUACCUUAACCUCGUCAACAAGACGCUUGGCUGCGCGCUCCACCCUCGCGGCCUCCUCUGUCUCUGUGAGAUCUUCAUGACCAAUGAAAUAGUCCCCGCGUUGGCGCCACACGUAAACGUGUUGGCAACCAUCAUGGGGACAGCCUUGGAUUUCCUCUACUUCGUCGUCGGAGGUCGCCCGGGUUUUACCGGACCCUGAACUCGGCUAGGGGAGCCCUUUGGUGAAGAGGCCUCUACUCGGGGUGGAGUCGGGACCCUCCUCCCUUCAGAAGGCGGGGAAGUCGGAGCUCUGUCCUCCUCCUCCGUGACACUGCUCGGGGGAGGUAUCCUCGCAGACUCAACAUCCCCAACAGGGGUGCUCGCUCGGGUCCUCGCCGGAGCUGGAUGUUCCUCGGCACUCUCAGCCACGGUCGUCGCUGCGGGCUGCUCCUCAGGAUGCUCCUGGGUGGUCUGCGGCGUGGCAUCUUCAACGACAGUCACGGGUUCGGCCGUCCUCUGGCCAGCAAUGUUGUCAGGGUCGAUGUCCGACGCCGCGCUAACGAAAAAUGUGGCAUUUAACCAAUGUCAAAAGUAGCAGCAACAAACACAAAAAUAGGAGGAAGCGUAAAAGUGAGAUUGAACAACUUAUAGAUCUGAGCGCCUGUGCGUCGCUGUGAAGAACCUUCUCCUAGUCCUACCAGUCGCCGCCGCUGCCCCUGUCUCUCCAACACGCGUCGGUUCCACGUGUGGGGCAGGAGGGUCGCCGGUCACCCGAUCAGUAGUGGCCGGCUAAACGUCCGGACGGCUACGCGGCCUUCGAACCAAAGAUGGAGCAGCCUCCUCCUCGUCGUCGUCGUCGGCGAUCCUAACGAGUCGACGGCACUUCGGAGCUUGGCUGGUCUCUGCCGGCAGCACCUCCGCCGGAGAUGGAUCCACCGCCAUUGGCCUUUUCCCCGUCACCCUGUCCUCGGUGAUCGGGGCGGGACGGUUCUGCUCCUCCUCACUGCUGGUGUAUUGAGGACACCGAGCAGCAUUGCCUUCCGGCGGGUCCAUCCCUGCAGGGUUUUUCAUACCAGGUGCCAGUGACACGUACACUGCGCACAGGUCAAUGUCUCCAAUCUGCAGUAGAACCAUCGACAAGUCAUCAACUUAAAGGACAAGGACAAAAAUGAGCAUUACUAGUCAAUAACAUUAUUUAUUUACCUUAGGAGCUGGUCGUCCAAGCUUGAAGGCGUGCACCCGAUCACUGCUUCGAACGAAGUUGUCGUCCGUAAAGUUAAACAGCUCGUUCAUCAGCUGCUGCACCUCCGCCUUCUCCAGACCAUCAGGGCUCAUUCUGGUCGGGUCCUAGCUCCCAGCGUACUCGUAUGCCGAGUGUACCCUCCUCUGGCAGGGCAUCACCCGACGAACAAUAAAGUUACCGACCACUCCUGGCCCGUCUAAGCGGGACCAGUCGAUCAGUUUCCCCAAGUCUGCCACCUGACCAGUGAAAUCCGGGCGGUCCGUCCAGCUGACCCUCUUCUCGGUGAUGUAGCCCACGUCGCAGAACGUGGAGCUGCCCGGCUCUUCGCUGAUAUAGAACCACUUCUUGUACCAUUCGGUGAGAGAAGUGUUCCAUGGGCAGUUGAGGUACCGGUUCUUCAUCCCAUCGCGCAGAUUGAGGUAUACUCCACCUGCAAUCUUAGAGCAUCCAACUGCUUCUUUCUUCCUCAGACAAAAAAGAUAGCGAAAAAGAUCGAAGUGCGGCUCUAUCCCAACAUAGGCCUCGCACAAAUGAAUGAAGGUGGAGAUGAGAACAAUAGAGUUCGGGUGCAGGUUGCAGAUCCCGAUCUCAUAGUAAAGAAGAAGGCCCUGGAGGAAAGGGUGGACAGGAAUCCCAAAGCCCCUCUUAAAAAAAUCUUCAAAAACUACAAUCACACUGGCACGGGGGUCGGGGUAGCUUUCCCCUUCCGGCGCCCGCCAGCCGCCGAGCUCUUGGUUGUGAAGUAGCCCCAUUCCGACGAGGUCGUUGAGGGACCUCGUGCUGCUGUGGGACUUCUUCCACUCAUUCGCCAUCAGUUCAGCCCUUUUCUUCAAGUCACUCUUCGCCAUUGACACUGCAGAAGCGAUUGCGAGUUGGACGAUUAAAGAUGGAGGUUGCAGAAGGCAGGAAUGGCAAGAACAAAAGGCUUGAAGGCAAAGGCAGGGUAAAGAUUAAGGGCGUGGUGUUGAGUCUUUAUAGGCAACGGCUCCACCUCUUCCACUUCCCGCAUUCUUGGGAAGUGGGCAGGCCCUACGGCGGAUGCGGCGUUUCGGUUUUCAAUAAUCAUCGGCAGUUAAUACGGUGGCUUUUCUGUAUAAUUGGUGGUUUCCUUUUCUUGAACCUCGCAAAGAGCGGCUGUACAGUUACCUGGCGCACCUUUUCAUGCAACCGUCUGACAAUACGUCAGGUGCCUUGUCACAUCACAUAUUAAUGUGGUCAGAUACUUUUUCCAAAAGACAAAUAAAAUUGGUGGAGCAUUAUGCGUAACAUACCUGGGGAUUGUACCGAACACUGUAUGCUUGGGGACUGGUCUACCAGCCCACCAAUGUGAGCUUUUGGGAACCGUACCGACCACCGAGCACUGUAUGCUCGGGGACUGGUUGGUCAGUCUACCAGUUUGAAAUUUUGAGGACUAUACCGACCACUGUAUGCUUGGGGAUUGGUCGACCAGCCCACCAAUUUGAGGUUUUGGGGACUGUACCGACCACCGAGCACUGUAUGCUCGGGGACUGGUUGACUAGCCCACAAAUUUGAAGAGUUCGGGGACUGGUCGAUUAGCCUAUUUGCAGACGUGCAUAAUAUGCUCGGGGACUGGUAAAUUCAAUUUUUAGACCUUGCUACAAAGCUCAUACUUCGCCUUCAAGCAAGCUCGGGGACUACAUCGGUACGAUGCAUCUGGCGAUGCAUCACAGUUUUGAAAUUUCUAUGGAGACUUUUUUGACCUUGGCACUGUUGACGGUCCUUAAUGCUCAUAUUUAACCAACAAUUAAUCAUAGAAAAGGAUCCAAAUGCAACCAACACCUAGACUUAUGGUUUUAUCUGACAGAAUUCCACAAGUUCUGGUGUUUGUCUAUUUCUGCUGGGGGUUAUCAGGAAAUAUGGAAGAAAGGCCCACACGUCGGGUUUACAUAGAGAUAUUAACGUGCCGCGCAAUUUUCUAUCAUCUAGAAGACUCCAGAAGCCACGGGACCGAAGCGGAAGCCGAGAGGCCUCAGGGACAGGGCGCCCGCCCUCCCCCCUGGACCAAUCAGGGUGAAGUUCGGGGAUUAUGCUCCACCGACCUAAUACUUCAAGGAAAACCACACGAUCAAUGUCGGUUUGAUCCGACUGCCCAGAUUCACUUGAAGGGACUAUAAAACUAGACCCCCCCUGGCCCCUGGAGAUCAUACCUCUUCUACAGAAUCAAAGCUAGGGUUUCAAUUCUUCAUCCAAGUAGAGAGGAUCCCUCUAGUUCUUCUAGUUCUACCUCUAGUUCAUCUAGAUCUAGUUCUAGUUCAUCUAGUUCUAGUUCUAGUUCCUCUAGUUCUAGUUCUAGUUAGUUCUAGUUGUAAUCUAGAAAAUAGGGAGAGAGAAGAGGAGAGCGGAGGAGGAGCCGGAUCUGUCGGAUCUUCCUCAACAUUAUACUUUUGCAGCAUCUGGUUCGUUCUUCAUCGUUCUCCAGGUUCUUCAAUUCAUAAUUCCUGAGUUCUUUAAUUACUUUUAUUUACAUUCAAGUUAUUUAUUGGAUUCCCGCUUGCAUCAAGUGCUCUAGUCUUUAUAACGCUAGAGUAGUAAUUAAUAGAUUAGACGUGGUGUUUAGUCUUGCAAUUACCUGGAAUUGCACCCAAUCCCACGGAUUGUUGUGGUAGCCCUAGGGUAGUGACAGCCCUAACGGUCGACGUAUUCCACCACGUUCGGAUUGGUGUUUCUAGGACCGUAGUCAGACCUUCCUAGCCCCCUUCUCAUCUCUUUCUGUGGUUAGUGCUCUGAUGUCCCGAUAUAGAUAAUCUUGAAGUAAUUCUUGAUUCUUAGAUCAACUAGAGAACUCUCAGGAAACUUCCUCUCUUUCCACCAAAAAUAAUUAUAUAGUUAUCUUUGGGCGAUCUUGGAUCUUAAUUAGUACACUCACGUUCUCUGUGAAAAAUCGAUACUCUGGAAUACUCCCAGGUGAAAGCUACAUCGGUAUCCGUGCGCUUGCGGAUUUUUUCUGUUUGCGUUUAAAAUACCCAACAAGCUUUCUGGCGCCGUUGCCGGGGAACGGUAGCUGUGCUAGUUUCGAACCAAGUCUUCCGUGUAUCCUUUUUCUUUUCCUUUUUUACCACACUCACCUUAUCAUUUUCACCGUACCACAUGGAUUUCACUCUAAGCAUUAAUGAGCAUGGAAUUUAUUUCAUAGCCACUUCAUUUACUCCAGGCUCAUAUGCAACAUCUUCACAAUCCAUUGGUCUCUCCAACAUCACCACAUUCGAGAUCUCCAACCCCCUCUUCCUUUCUAUUCAUAAAAACUUUAAAACGGCGGUUGUCAAUGCAUAUGUCUAUAAUAAAUUUUGCAGAUCUCGUUGAGUUGAUCUUGAUAUAGGUCAGCGUUGGAGGGGAAACCAGUUCACUGACAUAAAUUGAUGGUUUCCCAAGGACAAGCUUAGUGUCCUAAAACAAGCACUGAUCAGAUCGUAACAUGAGCUUUGAAUUAUUUGCAACAUUACCUUGUGUGUUGAGCAUAUAAGAAUAAUUGUAAAAAUAUUCCUUCUGGUAUUCUUGUCACUAACCUUUCCAGGAUUGGAGCAAGAAGAUCGGAUGAAUGACAAGCACAAGGUAUGUCCAACCAAUCAUCAUGCAACAUUGAAUUAAAUUCAUCCAAUCUUGAAUUUUGCAAAAUUCAAGCUUGGGGGAGUACUUUACAUAAAAACAUUCUUUGCCAUGUUGCUAUGUUGGUUGUCCCUACCUUUGAGACAUGCUCAAUUUUGUUAAAUACUAAUCACACUACUUCAUCCCCACUUGAGUAGAUCUCUAUAAAUGCUCUCAUGCUACCUUUAUUUGCUUUAGUAUAUGUCUAGGUUUGGAGUAGUUUCAUUUAUCUCCUAAUUAAGCAUGGUGCUUAGUUUAGGGCUGAUGAUCUUACUUCCAAGGGAGUUUAAAUUAAGCAUGAUGCUUAGGUUAAAAUGCCCUCCUAAAUCAAAUUAGACAUGGUGUCUAGGUUGAUUUUUGAGCCGAUAGUAUGCUAUAGUAGAUAUUGGAUAUUUUGUUGGACUAACCCCUGCAGGAAAACUUUCAAUAUCAACCUGGGAAGUCCUGAGAUAAACUCACAUUGGAGACAAAGAGAGAAGCACAUGAAGGUUAACAAUUUACACAAGGAAGGCAUAGCUCAGAAGAGAUGAUCCAUGGAGGGUGCUACAAACACGAUGCACAACCGCUAAGAAAGGAAAGCUUCCACAAGGUGAUAUUGUACCAUCACUCUUCAAGUAAGGUAACAUCUUAAGGUACUUGACUAUCACUUCUAUAAGCUUCUCCUUGGUUCUAGCAUUCACAUGAAUAAAAGAGACAAACAUGUAUGAUUUACAAUUCUAUAUUAACCAAGCCAAUCGAUUCAAUAUGUUUAGUCCUUUCACCUUUGUGAUCCCACACUAAAUGUUGCACACACAAUCUUUGGAAGAUAUAUAUAAAAAAAAGAGAUAAGUAUAGAUAGAUUAUCUUUCCAUUAGGUUGAGUGAUCUGAUCUGACGAAUGUUUUAAAUGCUACACUCAUGAUCUUAUUAUCCAUCAACUUUGUCUUGCUCACUAUGCUUAAGGUUAGAGAAGAACAAAUACACUUUUGGUUCUGUUGGUGUUUUCCACCAACAGGGCCCAUGCACUUGAUCUCUGCCUUGUCUCUAUGAGCAGGUACACUUCGAGCAAAAUAUGAAGGAGUUUUACAACUCCCAGACUCCACCAAGUGAAGAACCUAGAUCUACGAGCACAAACACACUGGAGAUACUGGACACUCAGGCAAUCACUGCCCUGAGAUGUUUGAGGAUGAAACUACUGGAGUAACCCCGUUGUGGAAGUAAUUACUGACCUUCUGCCGGUCAAGAGAGACAAUCUAGGACGCCCCGUCAUCCCGAUCUCCAUCGGCAUGGCGGACUUCCGAGAAGCACUCUACAACUUUGGCUCCAGCGUCAACAUUAUGCCCAGGGGAAUAUUGAAGAACCUCUGCGUCCGAGUUGGUACCUUGUACGCCCCAGCAGACUUCGUGGUGAUAGAGACCGGUUUUGAUGAGAAGGCACCCGUCAUACUAGGGAGGCCAUUCCUGAACACCUCGGGAGCUGUCAUCUACACUAGUGCUACCAAGAUCAGAUUCUACAUCAAGGGGAGGAAGGAGACGUUUUCCUUCAGGAACAAGACUACACAAAUCCCAGAGCAAUCCCGACAUGAACCAAGGAAGAGGACCAACAGGAGGAAUAAGAACAAGCAAAUGUGUACCGAGUCAGCUAAGAUGGUCACUACAGCUCAAGGAUGUCAAGAUCGUCAACUCAAGUCACCUUUCUUGAUCAAGAAGGACGACCCUGGUGUCCCAAGCAUCGAGUGCACAAUCAACGGAUAUUCUUUUCAGAAGACACUCUACGACACCGGAUCUAACGUCAACAUAAUGGCCGCAGUCACUUAUCAGCUCCUGCAUGGAACCAUGUCCCUACAACCAACAUACAUUCAGCUCCACAUGAUUUUAAGGUUAUUGACAUGGGAGAAGACAAGUACGAUCCACUCAUCAUCCUUGGAAGACCGUUCCUCAACACCGUUAAAGCAAUCAUCUACAUUGGAACUGGAGAAGUCCACAUGCACUUCCCCUCUAACAAGGUACGCCGCUAUUUUACUGACCCUAACUAUAUAGUUGAAGAUUCUAAGCAGGUCAGGACAAGAAGAAGACGACGCAACCGCAACCAGAGGAGGCAAAUCAUCAAGGACGGAUGGGUAGACUACGAAGGAGAAGUAAUAAGGUCUCAAGACAUACAACUUGAACAGAACUGUCCUGAGGAGACCGUAGCACCGAGUCAGGUGUGUAAAGAGAAGAUAGUUAUACAUGAAGAGCAGGCGCCGCCGGAACCACCGACUACGCCACCCAGCGAAUCCCAGGACGACUGAGAAAACGGAGAAUCCCGUUCGGAGGACUUAAAAGCACCGAACGCCUUGCCAAGAGGUAAACUUGGUAGUUAUCCAUUUCCUUUCAAUUAUUUAAAAUAGUUUGCUUAGUUAAUCAGGUUCAUAUCAUCUCGAAAAGAAAAUAAAAAUGUUAAAAAAUAGUAAGCCCCAUGUGAGUAUGCUCAUGGCAUAAAACCCAUAAGUACAUUCACUGUGGUGGCAUAAAAAUAAAAUAAAUAUAUUUAUACGCUAUAAAAAUGAGAAUAUAAAAAUAAAUUCAUGAUGCUACUAAAGAGUGUAACAUUUAUUGAGGAGGCUCAACAUGAUAAAGGCUAGAUAUUUAUGCUAACACUUAACUAGUUUCACAAAGCUUUGUUGUCUAUUUGAGCUCCACAGAAUUUAAGGAUCAAAGAAGACUAGCAGACGGAGGACAUCCUAAUCGCUAUCAGGGUGUUGCCGACAUUCAAAUACACCUCCGCCACCUGCUAGCUACAUCAGAAGAAAUUACAUCAAAAUCCAGCUUGGGGGAGAGCACCCCCAUUUAUCCAGCUAAGUAUUCUACUCACGUUUAUACUUUACUCUAUUAAUAAAAAGAUGCAUAAUCAUAAAAACCCAAAUAAAGAUUUUGUGCUUAUAUAUAUAUCUUUGCUUAGCUUGCUAAAUAAAUAAAUAAAUAAAGUUUGCUAUGAACCCUCAUGAUAAGCUCUCACAUGGAAAUGAUGAAUAGUUGCUCUGCCAUGAUUAGUUAUCAAAAUUUAAAUCUCUCUCAAGUUUAGGCAUGACUGUUAUUAAUUAAGAUUUGCUCUAAACCUGAACUUGUGGAGAGAGUACUUGAUCUAAAGUCUAAGUCGUUAACGGAUAUGAUAUGGGAAGGUUGAGCUGCUGUUUAUCUGUUCCUAGAGAUGCUAGAAUUCUGGAGAAUUUUAUCUUUGAAAAUCUUUAAAAUGUUGCAUGAUGAGUUCCUGUAUGAUGAGAGUUUAAAUUCCUACCACAGCCAUAUAUACAUGCUUGCUAGACUAUGAACCACACAUUUACUUUACUACUUAUGAGCAUUGAGUGUGGUCAAGCUGUGUAGACCCUUAGGAGCUUGUCAUGUGGUUAAAAUCAAGAUUCACUUGCACGUUCACUCAUACAUGCUGCUUCUACUCCGGAAGUACGCAUCCACAUAUAUCCAUCCAUUUCCAUCUCCAGAACCACCCAAAAAUAUUCUACUCCUAAUCCGGGAGAGAAUAGCCAAAAAUAUUUCUAUUUUUCCCCUACGAAAUAAAUGCUCAAGUUAUCUUGUUACUACCACUUGUGAUAUUAUCUCAUGAGAUGAGUGCUCUAAUAAAAAAAAGAGAAAAAAAGAAAAAAAAAGAGAUACGAGGAAAUAAAAAGGGGCAAGUGCCCGAAACCUCGAAAAAAAAGUGAGACGAGAGGUAAAAAUGGACAAGUGUCCGAUAGUAGAAUUAGGGGUACAAGAUACCCACCUGAGAGAAAAGAAAAAAAAAGAAAAUAUAGAGCAUCUCAUUCUCCUCAAAAAGUUUCAAAACAGCAAGAAAGGUAUGUAUCCCCUCAAAAGAGCAUAAGUAGAAUUAGACUUCCACCAUUGUUAUCACCAUCAUCACCAUACACCAUUCAUUCGCCACACAUGCACAUCUUGAUUUGACUUAUUGACUUGUUCUUCUGGAUCCAUGGUUUGACUAUGCAAUAAAUGUCUUGUAAGUAUGUAUUAGCUGUCUCCCACCUAUGAGCUCCAGAUAUCAAAAGCCUUAUUAGAGUAGGGUGAGAGAGAAGGCAAUGCCACUAUGCCUCAUACCAAAAAUACCACAUACUUUGAGAGUAGGCAUACACCAUUACUGCCUUGGUAAGGAUCCAGAAAUACCACAAAUGAGAGACUAGAGAGAGUCAUACAAGGAAUCUCUGAGUUUUAUUUAAAAAUCUGCAAAAACCCAGAGCUAUGGCUGAUCAAGAAUAAGAGACAUGGUGCUUGACUAGACCGUUCUAUCUUUUAACUACUCAAGACAGAAGUGACGGUUACAAGUCCCAUGGUGAAAGGUAAAUGAGUAAGUUUUAAGUCUUAACAGUUUACUCUAACCAGAGAUGAGAUCUUGUUUAAACGCAUCUGUAUCUUUAAGUUAUGAAACCACUGCAGAAACUCUUGAGUCAAUCUUUGCUCAGGGACGAGCAAAGGUUAAGCUUGGGGGAGCUUGUUGACGGUCCUUAAUGCUCAUAUUUAACCAUCAAUUAAUCAUAGAAAAGGAUCCAAAUGCAACCAACACCUAGACUUAGGGUUUUAUCUGACAGAAUUCCACAAGUUCCGGUGUUUGUCUAUUUCUGCAGGGGGUUAUCAGGAAAUAUGGAAGAAAGGCCCACACGUCGGGUUUACAUAGAGAUAUUAACGUGCCGCGCAAUUUUCUAUCAUCUAGAAGACUCCAGAAGCCACGGGACCGAAGCAGAAGCCGAGAGGCCUCAGGGACAGGGCGCCCGCCCUAGUCCUGAGGGCGCCCGCCCUCCCCCCUGGACAAAUCAGGGUGAAGUUCGGGGAUUAUGCUCCACCGACCUAAUACUUCAAGGAAAACCACACGAUCAAUGUCGGUUUGAUCCGACGGCCCAGAUUCACUUGAAGGGACUAUAAAACCAGACCCCCCUGGCCCCUGGAGAUCAUACCUCUUCUACAGAAUCAAAGCUAGGGUUUCAAUUCUUCAUCCAAGUAGAGAGGAUCCCUCUAGUUCUUCUAGUUCUACCUCUAGUUCAUCUAGAUCUAGUUCUAGUUCAUCUAGUUCUAGUUCUAGUUCCUCUAGUUCUAGUUCUAGUUAGUUCUAGUUGUAAUCUAGAAAAUAGGGAGAGAGAAGAGGAGAGCGGAGGAGGAGCCGGAUAUGUCGGAUCUUCCUCAACAUUAUACUUUUGCAGCAUCUGGUUCGUUCUUCAUCGUUCUCCAGGUUCUUCAAUUCAUAAUUCCUGAGUUCUUUAAUUACUUUUAUUUACAUUCAAGUUAUUUAUUGGAUUCCCGCUUGCAUCAAGUGCUCUAGUAUUUAUAACGCUAGAGUAGUAAUUAAUAGAUUAGACGUGGUGUUUAGUCUUGCAAUUACCUGGAAUUGCACCCAAUCCCACGGAUUGUUGUGGUAGCCCUAGGGUAGUGACAGCCCUAACGGUCGACGUAUUCCACCACGUUCGGAUUGGUGUUUGUAGGACCGUAGUCAGACCUUCCUAGCCCCCUUCUCAUCUCUUUCUGUGGUUAGUGCUCUGAUGUCCCGAUAUAGAUAAUCUUGAAGUAAUUCUUGAAUCUUAGAUCAACUAGAGAACUCUCAGGAAACUUCCUCUCUUCCCACCAAAAAUAAUUAUAUAGUUAUCCUUGGGCGAUCUUGGAUCUUAAUUAGUACACUCACGUUCUCUGUGGAAAAUCGAUACUCUGGAAUACUCCCGGGUGAAAGCUACAUCGGUAUCCGUGCGCUUGCGGAUUUUUUCUGUUUGCGUUUAAAAUACCCAACAGGCACCACGUGCCUACGUCACCUGCUACCAUGCUCGGGGACUAAGUGGGCACACUUCACCUUGCGGUGAAUAUGCUUGCUUUUUUGAAAGUCUGUAUUUUUCAAAAAAGUAAAGUGGGCACACUUCACCAGGAAAGAAAUCUUUUUUGAUUUAGAGCACCAUGCAUUCUUCGAACAACCUACUUCUUCGAUGUCGAUGUUGAUCAACUGUCUUUUGAGUUGGUUAAAAUUCAGUUGCAACUGUUUGGGCGACUUUCCUACUAAUUGAAGACGUCAAGCCUCAUUGGUCGAGGAAGCUCAAGACGGCGUGUUACAUCAUAAUACAUGGUGCUCGGGGACUAGCUGUGGGGGUAUAAACCCCUAAACCCUUACGGCUAGACUUGGGCCAGGAGGCUUGGCCCAUCACGAGGACAGUUCGAGACUUGAACCAACUGCUCAGAGUUUCGCGCAAGGAAACAAGACUGUUGAUAUUUGGUAAUGCAAUAAGGAAAUGAUCCGCAAGCGCAUGGAUAUCGGUGAGCAUUUCACCCGGGAGAUUAUCUAGAGUUAUCGUAUUUAUAUUUUUACCAUUGGGAGAAAGGGUGCAUCUGACUAACCAAAUCUAUUGCUACUACCCCUUUAGGCUACAAAGAAUGUUUCUUGAUGUGAGUGAUGUAUAGAGAAGACUGCAACCGUAGUCUACUUCUAACCUUGGUAAGGAUGAUCUACUGUUCUAUUGCGGAAGCUUACGGAAUCUAGACACCACAAAGGAUGUUCGACCCGCACCUAUAAACCCUACACUUCCUGCUAACGAGAUGUGGGAUACAAAGGUAACUCAGAAAUAUCACGUUCCUUGCUACUACCACUGUCCAGCUAGUCAGGGGAUAUCUAAGAGUACUCUAGCCUAAACACCACAUUUACGCUAGCAAUGAUUACUCUAAUACUCAACCGGAAGAGAUUAAAGUAAACUCAUAAACCUAAGAACAAUAGAACAAGAACUUACUAGAAUUAGAAGUCGAAUUACUGAAGAAUCCUAGGAGCAAGCCUCGGGUUAGAAGACUUGAUCCCACAGGUAUAACCUCGGAGUAGACACCGACAGGCCGGGCUUCCUCCGAUCUACACCUCCACUCUAUAUCUCUCAAUCUACUAGAAACUAGAAGAUCUAAUUCUACUCACAUUGGAUGCUAAGCCUAAAAUAAAUAUUUAUUUGGAGGAGAGGUAUUCCUUCGAGGGCUCCUCUCAACUCUAUGAUGAACUUGUUGUCCUCUAGGGGCCAGGGGGUCUGCUUAUAUAGUCCCCUCCUUUUGUGCCUUUUUGGUUCAGCAGGCAAUGUGGUACUAAACUUUCCAUCGUAUCUCAUCAAAAUGCACAUAGGCCUUAAUGGACCAAAAUCUGUUUUGGGGCCAAAUAAUCCCGCAGCUCUUUUAUGUGGAGUCCUUCUUUUUUUAAUAUCUAUUGAUUCCGAACUCCAAAUAUAGCAAGUAAUAUAUGCAUUUCGAUCAGCUCGACGAGAUCUUUGUAAUGGUGUACUCCGUUUUGUGAUUGGUGCUUGUACCAGGGCGGGCGCCCAAGGUGGGAGGGCGGGCGCCCUGCCCCCGGGCCCGUUCGGCCUCCCGUUCGUUCCCGUGGCUUCUGGACUCUUCUAAAUGAUAGAAAAUUGUGUGGCACAUUAAUAUCUCUAUGUAAACCCGACGUGUGGGCCUUUUCUCCAUAUUUCCUAAUAACCCCUUGCAGAAAUAGGCAAACACCAAAACUCAUGGAAUUCUAUCAGAUAAAACCCUAAGUAUGGGUGUUGGUUGCAUUUGGAUCAUUUUCUUUACUUAUUUGAUGAUUAUAUUUGGUACUUAAGGACCGUCAACAAACUCCCCCAAGCUUACCUCUUGCUCGUCCCUGAGCAAGGAUAGACUCAAAAGUUUCUACAGUGGUUUCAUGCCUUAAAAGUACACAUGCGUUCAAGCAAGAUCUCAUAUCUGAGUUAGAGUAAACUGUUAAGACUUAAAACUUAUUCAUUUUACCUUUUACCAUGGGGCUUGCAACCAUCACUUGUGUCUUGAACAGUUAAAAGAUAGAACAGUCUAGUCAAGCGCCAUAUCUCUUGUUCUUUGAUUAACUAUGGCUCUGGAGUUUUUGCAGAUUUUCAAAUAAAACUCAGAGAUUCCUUGUAUGACUCUCUCAAAUCUCUCUUUUGUAGUGUUUCCAGAUCCUUUCCAAGGCAGUAAUAGUAUAUGCCUUCUCUCAAAGUAUGUGGUAUUUUUGGUAUGAGGCAUAGUGAUAUUGCCUUCUCUCUCACCCUACUCUAAUAAGGUUUUGAUAUCUGGAGCUCAUAGGUGUGAGACAGAUAAUACAUACUUAUAAGACAUUUAUUGCAUAGUCAAACCAUGGAUCCAGAGAAACAAGUCAAUAAGUCAAAUCAAGAUGUGCAUGUGUGGCGAGUGAUUGGUGUAUGAUGAUGAUGGUGAUAACAAUGGUGAAAGUCUAAUUCUACUUUUUGCUAUUUUUAGGGGAUACAUACAUUUCUUGCACUUUGAAGCUUUUGAGGAGAAUGAGAUGCUCUACAUUUUCUUUUACUUUCCUCUCAGGUGGGUAUCUUGUACCCCUAAUUCUACUGUCGGACACUUGUCCAUUUUUACCUCUCGUCUCACUUUUUCUUUUCUUCGAGGUUCCGGGCACUUGCCCCUUUUUAUUUCCUCGUAUUUUUUCUCUCUUUUCUUUUUUGCUUUUCUUUUUUUAGAACACUCAUCUCCUAAAACAAUAUAGCAAGUGGUAGUAACCAAGAUAACUCGAGCAUUUAUUUCAUAGAGAAUAACAGAGAUAGGAUAAUGUUUUUGGCUACUCUCUCCCAGAUUAAGAGUAGAAUACUUUUGAGUGAAUCUGGAGAUGGAAAUGAGUGGAUGUAUGUGGAUGCGUACUUCCAGAGUAGAAGCAGCAUGUAUGAGUGAACGUGCAAGUGAAUCUUGAUUUUAACCACAUGACAAGCUCCUAAGGGUCUACACACCUUGACCACACUCAAUGCUCAUAAGCAGUAAAAAGUAAAUAUAUGAUUCAUAGUCUAAUAAGCAUGUAUAUAUGGCUGUGGUAGGAAUUUAAACUCUCAUCAUAUAGGAACUCACCAUGUGUUAUUUUAAAGAUUUUUCGAAGAUAAAAUUCUCCAGAAUUCUAGCAUCUCUAGGAACAGAUAAACAGCAGCUCAACCUUCCCAUAUCAUAUCCGUUAACAACUUAGAGUUUAGAUCAAGUACUCUUCCCACAAGUUCCGGUUUAGAGCAGGUUUAAAUUAUAACAGUUAUGCCUAAACUUGAGAGAGAUUUCAAUUUUGAGAACUAGUCAUGGCAGAGCAACUAUUCAUCAUUUUUAUGUGAGAGCUUAUCAUGAGGGUUCCUAGCAAACUUCAUUUAUUUAUUUCGCAAACUAAGCAAAGAUAUAUAUAUAUAAGCACAAAAUUUUUGUUUGGGUUUUCAUGAUUAUGCAUCUUUUUAUUAUUUGAGUAAAGUGUAAAUGCAAGUAGAAACACUUAGCUGGAUAAAUGGGGGUGCUCUCCCCCAAGCUGGAUUUUGACGUAAUUUCUUCUCAUGUAGCUAGCAGGUGUCGGGUGUGUAUUUGAAUGUUGGCAGAACCCUGACAGCGAUUAGGGUGCCCUCCGUCUGGUAGUCUUCUUUGAUCCUCGAAUUAUGUGGAGCUUCAAAUAGACAACAAAGCUUUGUGGAACUCUUGGCAAGGCGUUCGGUGUUUUUAAGUCCUCCGAACGGGACUCUCCGUUUUCUCAGUCGUCCUGGGAUUCGCUGGAUGGCGUAGUCGGUGGUUCCGGCGGCGCCUCCUCUUCGUGUAUAGCUAUCUUUUCUCUCCACAUCUGACUCGGUGCUACGGUCUCCUCAGGACAGUUCUGUUCAAGCUAUAUGUCUUCAGACCUUGUCACAUCUCCUUUGUAGUCUGCCCAUCCGUCCUUGAUGAUUUGCCUCCUCUGGUUUCGGCUGC
rnacentral:lncRNA from 1 species